AGGAUAAGUAGGCGGCUUAGCUGGAGAAGGCGAUGGUGGAGGAUAUGUCGGUGGAUGCACUGGUGGCUUAGUCGGGGGCGCAGUUGGCGGCUUAGUUGGAGGAUAAACUGGUGGCUUGGGUGGAGGGGCGUAAGUUGGUGGCUUGGUCGGUGGCUUGGGCGGAGGAGCGUAAGUUGGCGGCUUGCUGGGUGACUUGGGUGGAGGAGCGUAAGUUGGCGGCUUGCUGGGUGACUUGGGAGGAGGAGCGUAAGUUGGCGGCUUGCUUGGUGACUUGGGUGGUGGAUAAACUGGAGCAAUCUUGGGUGCUUUGGGUGGGGGGUAAACAGGUGGGUGAGUUGGGGGCUUAGUAGGGGAAGGGGUUGGCUGGUGGGGAUGCGGAUGCGGAUGCGGAUGCGGAUGCGGAUGGGGAUGGUGAUGGUGGUGGUGGUGGCUUGGUGGGUGAGCAGGUGGCACUACAGGCGAAAUUCCAUGGUAAUGAGGAGGCAAAGCCUCAGGCAAGAUCUGAGAAGACACCGUGAAGCUACUCAGUACGAAAAGGGAAAGGUGCAGGAGCAAGGCAGCUUUAGUUGCUACUGCAAACCCCAUAUUUUGCUUAAAGCUUAGCUGUAAGAGACUUGAAGAGAGGUGGUGAAGUUAAGUCCUUCUAAGAACUGCAUUUAUAGGGGUUAAGCCGUGAUUCUCUGCGGUUUUUAAUCAUGAAAAUCUUGUUUUACAAUAGAGUGAGGGAGUGGGGUUAGGGCCCUAAUAGUAAUUAAAAAUCUAUUCAAUGUACGGGUUAAUCAGAAUCCAUAAAAUUUACACUUAUGAAAAUAGGGUUCAUGACCUUAAAUGCAUAAACCAAUUUAGAAUGGUUUUUCAGCAGGACAUUAUUAUAUUGAGUGAUUGAUUCAAUUUAGCUUUAAUUUUGUAGCCAAGUACUUGGGCAUGGCACAUGCAUGCAGAAGAAAAAUGGAAAUUCUACCCAUACAUACAUACGGUGCAAGAAAAUGUAGAAGUUUCCAAGGACUUCGUGUAGUGGACCCUUUUAUAAAAUUAGAUUUAUUCCAUUAAAUAAAAGAUUAGGCCUCUAAAAUUAUGAAGCUUGUUCCUUUGGUUAGGGCAAUCAUAGAGUAGGCUUGAACGUUGAACAUAAAAGGAAGAUAAAGUUGAUGUCUUUAGGGUAAAAUGAUAGGAAUCCGAGCUGCCUUGGAUGAGAAUAUUGUCCUUUUCAAGGUUUUUUUUUUUUUAAACUUUUUCUAACACAAUAAUGGUUCAAUAUCAUUUUCAUUUUCUAGAAAUAAAUGUUUAUUAUUUUAAACUAUAUUUAUAAUAUUAUAUACAGCAAGCCAGGUGCUGGGCUGGCAGUACCGAAUUUCAUGAAAAAAAUUUUAUUCAAGUUUUUUAAAAUUUUAAAUUAACAAAAAUAAAAUUAUAUUUUAACUCUUUAAAAAUAAUAAAAUUUUAAUUUAAUUUUUUAAAAUUUAUAUUUUUACUAUUACAUAAGUUACAAUUUAAUUUUAGCUCCUAAAAAAAUUUUAUAAUUCUUCCUGCAACAAGCUUGUUCAACCUUAAAUCAACUGCUAUUGUUGUAAUUAUAAAAAAAAAAGAGAGUUUCCUCUGAUUUAAAAGUUUCAAAGUUGUAUCAAAAAAUAUUAUAUAAAACAAAACAGAUCAAUUGAAAGUGUGCUCACUUUUGCUUUUGUAAAGAUUUUCCAAGUCACAUUUUUAACCUUGGUAUAGUUUUUUUUUUUAAGAUUUAUUUUGGGUAUACAUUUAUUUAUUUUUUAAAUUAAUUUCAAUUAUACGUUUGAAAGCGUAAUUGUUAUAUUUUUAGUAUUUAAAAUAUGUUUUAUAUAUUAAUAUUAAAUUUUAUAAACAAUUUAUAUUAAUUACUUAAAAAUAUUAAAAAUUUAUAUUUUUAUAUAACAAUUUAUUUUUAUAAUUUUAUUACAAUUGAAAUUAAUAUUUUCAUAUUCAGUGUUAUUUGAAAUAGGCUGAAACUUAUUUGUAUAUUAACCCAAAAAUAAGAAUUGAACCGAUCUUUAAGUGAAUUACUUGAAAUUAGUAAAAAUUAAAAGUCAAAAUAAAUUUUUUUUACUAAUUUAAUUGAUUUUUAUAUUUUUUAAACAAUUUAUUUUUAUUUUAUAAAUUUUUUAAUUAUUUAUUUUAUUAUUAUUAGAAUGACAACCGAACUAAUUAAAUUAAGAACUCUCGGCUCAUUCGACAAAUGGAUAGGUUAUUAUAAUAUUGUUUCAUAUAUUAAAUUAAGGCAAAUAAAUUAAUAAAACAAAUUACAUUGAGAGAGAGCAUAUGGGAAUGGGAGCGGAGUCAGUGUGGGGAAAAGAAGAAAAAAAAACCACUGCACCUUCGCCACGUUGCUAUCUCUAAUAAGGAAACUCUUGUGACGAUAAAAAUAGACAUGGGAAUGCAAACAAAAUAUUGGGCCAACGGUUCUUUCUUCUCACUUUUUAUAAGGACAAGAUUUAAAUAGAUUAGAGGUUCUAUUAAUUAAACAACCAUUUUGUUCUACAUCACACGUUUUUUAAUUAUGGGUAUUUUUUUUAUCAAUUUAUCAUCCAAUUAAGUAUUUCAUCGAGAUUAUUUUUUAUCAAUUUUUAUUAAUUGUAUUAACAGGAGAAUGAUGUGACUACUGAAAAACUAAUAUAAUAAUAAAUUUAAUUUUCCAACUUUUAGGUAUUAUAUAAUUUAGUUUUAAAAAAUUAAUACUCAAAUUUUACAAAUGAUUUUAAUUCAUCCUAAUUCUAAUUUGUUUUUAAAAAAAUACAUAUAUAUUUUAAAUUUAUAUAUUAUUAAAUUUAAAUAUAUAUAAAUAUUUUUAAAAAUAUAAUAAUAAUUUUAUAUUUUAUAUUAAUAUUAAUAUUAAUAUUAAAUUUAAAAGAACCCUCCCCUCCACCAAUUCUAUGGCUCUAUAUUUUCCAAUGAUUGGAUGCUUGUCUUCUUCUCCACGUCUUCUAUCAUUUCAUUGUUCAAGCUCUCCUCUCUUGACUCAGGUUUAAUAGGCAGAUGCGUUCUGUACUGAUGUCUUGAUGCAAGGAUAAGAAAGACCAAUAAAUUUAUAAAUCCCAACACUGCAAAUAACCAGUAAAUGUUAUUUAACUUUCAUUUAUUCAGAUUGGUCCUUAGCCAGCUCUUUUUAGUCGCAUGAUCCACGAUAUACACAAAUAAACUGCCCACAAAGAACCCCAUUGAAAUGGUGGUAAGGAAAAGCCCUGCGCUCAUGGAUUUCAUUCGAUCUGGUGCCUCUCUAACAAAGAACUCAAGUUGUCUAACAUAAGCAAAAGCUUCCCCGCAAACCUAGGACGAAGAAUUCAAUGAAGAGCCAAGAGGCUCUUAGUUUGACUUGUUUUUACGCGUAUAAAUUUUAGUUUUACUAUAUUUUUUUGAAAAUAUUUAUUUAUUUUUAUAUAUUUUUAAAUUUUAUUAUUUAUUUUUAAAAAUUGUUACACAUUUUUAUAUAUUUCUUUGAUUUUUUUACAAUUAGAAUAAAUUGAGACCAUUUGUAAAUUUUAAGGGUUAAUUUCUUAAAUUUGUGACUAAAUCGAUAUGAUAUGUAAAAUUUGAGGGUUAAAUUUAUACUAGUUUUUCAAUUACCACGCCACCCUCUCGUUAGUGCCAUUAACAGGAAUAGACAAAAAAAAAACAAUCUCGAUUAGUUAGGACCAAUUGUAACAUCCCAAAAAUCGGGUUAGAAGAUAUUGAGUUAGUGGAACGAAGAGUGGUUACGUCCCGAGUUUGAGUUAAGGUUGUGAAAUUAUGAUAAGUGAAUUAAUUUGGUUUAGUGGCUAAGUGUUGUGUUUGUAUGUGCUAGGUUCUAGGUUUGAAUCAUAUUUCUUGAAUUUUUGUUACUUUGCCUAAACCCUUAUUUUUGAACAUUUGGUUUAUAAGUUAUUUGUGUUCAACUAAUGUCAAGAUGAGCCUAGUGGUUUAGUGAUUAAGUUCUUGUACAUCUUUUAGUUUUAUGUUCAAGUUUAUGUGAAAGCAAUAAGAAGAAAAAACAAAAAUCACGUUGCCUUUGAGAGUUAGUUUUUUUUUUAAACUAACCAAAAGUCUUCUUUCUAAAAUAUUUCUUUUCACGUUUUGUUCUUCCAACAUUCUGCUGUUACUUUCUUCUUCCUUUCUGUUCUUUUUUUCCUUUUUAUUUCCUUCCGCUAAUUUUGUUGUUAUUCUAUCGAGGGAAUUGCAUAUUUCACCAUUUUUUAUUGAAAGGUUAAUUGCAUAAGUUUUGUUGUCAAAGCUCUAUUAAUGUUUUUCUCAUUUGUUAUUUGUCGAAACUAAAUUUUUUUGCUCGUUUUGUCCAAUUUCGGUUUUUGAGGAUUCAAUUGGUUCUCUUUCUUAAGUGAAUGGGUUGCAUAUCAAGAUCCUCCAUCGAUUUAAGUAUUUGUGUUACAGGAUACGAGCGAGGGUAAGCGCUGAAGUUCGAUUUGGGGUUUUUGGGUUGAAAUUUUUCGACGAAACUUUUGUAGUAAAUAUGUUAGUUAUUGAAUUAGUUAUGAAAAUCGUUUGAUCAAGGUUUGAUUAUUGUUUUUAGGGUUCAAAAUUCAUCUUUGUUGCUUCUACGUCAAAAUAAAACCAGGUAUGUACUGAAAGCUGAGAAUUUUACAAACGAUGAAAGCUAAAAUUCGCGAUUGCCAACGCCACAUGACUGUGUGCCAGGCCAUGUGGUAGGCCAUGUAACUUUCUAACUUGGGUCACACGAAUGUGUGUCCAGACCGUGUAAAGGACUAUUUUGAUUUUGAGUCAUACGGGCAAAUGAUACAAGCGUGUGUCUAGACCUUCUGACUCUCUGACUUGUUCCACACAAGCAUGUGCUAAGCCGUGUGGGCCACACGGGCAUGUGUUAAGCCGUGUGGGCCAGCCAUGUAGGUUGUGUGGAUCCACACGGCUGUGUGGGCCAAAAAUCAAUUUUUUCCCUAUAGCCAUAAACGUCGUUCGACUCAAACGUAAGCCUUCCAUGGGGUCCGUAUGAUUUGAAACAAGCUAUAAAACUUAAUUUUUGAUGAUUUGUUGAUGAAUAAUUCAUUAUCUGUACAUAUGUCUGAUAUGAUAUAAGCUAAGUAUACAUGAUCUGUUAACGUAUAAUGUGUGAUAUCUGAAUAACUUUUUGUGUUUGAUAUUGAUUUUGAUAUGUACCAUGCAUGUGACUUUAUGGGAAUUAUGUUAUGAUUCAUUAAGAUUUGAUCAAUCUGUUUGCAAAGCAUGGAUUUCUAUGCCUUCUAUUUCUGUUAUUAUACAACACCAUGUCCAACAUGCUUAGCAUUCUAAUUUUGUAUUCAUGUCAUGACACAUUCCAUGGGUCCAGGAUGAUGUGAAAGGAAGAAGUUUCUUGUAGUUCAAUAAUCUACAUUAUUUGGUGGUUUAUCCACAAUUCUAUUUGGCAGCUUGUCUUCAACUAUGGUGGCUUGACCACAUACAUCUAUUCUAGCAACUUGGCUGCAACAUAGUGGCUUGACCACAUAUAUCUGAUUUGGCAGUUUUAACUACAAUUCUGGUGGCACUGUCUCCAAUUAUCUAUUGGUGUGAUUUGGUUGGAUAAGUUCUGGAGAAAUUCUAAUUUUGUGUGUAGCGGAGUUAGGUAGAAUAUUUUCUGAUAAAUCUGCAUUCCGAUUUUCUGAAAAAUACCGCAUUGACAUAAUCAUACAUUCUUUAUUCCAUUAUACUAUCGUUAUGAAAAUCUUUGUGACAUCUGAUUUGUUCUGCUCUAGUUAUAUGAUCGUUAUGAAAUUAUCUACGUUACUCUGAUUUGUGUAUGAUGUUUUAUUUGAUCAUUGUUUAAGUUUAGUUAUACACUAAGCUUCAUAGCUCACUCCUUUGUUUUAUCUUUGUCUGUUCAGGUAAACCUAUGACUUAGGACUAGACGGCGUGUGGGAGCUCGGAUUAUUUUUGUAUUUAAUGUAAAUAUGGUGAAUUUAGUAAUUAUUUGUUUUGAUCUUUUGGGUUUGUAAUUUUUUUCUGAACUCGUUUUGGAUUUUGCUUAAUUCGUCAGUAAUUGAUAUUUUCUAAUGCGAGACUGCAAAAUCACUUAAGUCGACAAAACAGAUUUUGAUUUUCAAAACUAAAACUCCAAAAAGGGUUUUUCGCUGCAAAUUAAGUAAUUUCUUAAGUGGUUUUUGAAAGCGAAUAAAUAGUUUUCUAAUGACUAUUUGUGAAAGUCAUAUUUGCUUAACACUUACUGAAAUCAGUUUUCCAAGUGAGUCAAUGUAAUUUCUCCAGAUUCGAUUAUAACUUCUAGACUGGGUUUAAGGUGUUACACCAAUUAAAAAAAAUCAUAGUUAGGUGACCAAAAAAGAAAAUGAUCCAUAAUUAGGUGACAUGUGGUGUAGUUUACCCUUUCCUUAAAUUAUAAGUUAUAAAUCUCAAAACUAUACAUGAACUUUAGUCUAAUGUGCAAUUUUAUAAAUAAAAUUUUGGUUUGAUUCAAUUCUCACUAAUUAUUAGCAUAAUUAUUGAUAUAGCAUCAUUUAUGUGGAUUGAAUUAUCAAUAUAUGUUGAAAAACAAAAAAAAAAUUAAGUAAAUGUGUUUUUUUUAAUUUACUGAUCUAUAUUGUUUUUGGAGAGAAAAAGUAAAAUGCAUCCUACAGGACACGCUAUCAACCACGUCAACUGAAAACGCAACUUGAAUGCGUUUUCACUGAAAGUUGACAACUCGGUUCUUUUGGUCAGAUGGUUAAAUGUUAGUGCUUUUGUCAUUAAGUUAUGAGUUUAAUUUUUCUCCUACUCACAUUUGUAUUUUUUACUUCAUGUUGUUUUAAGUUUUUUUUUUAAUUAAUAUUUUUUACACAUUAGCUAUUUUGGUUAGAUGGUUAGAUAAUUGUGAAUUCGUCUUUGAAUCUAAAGUUCAAUUCCUCUUAUAAGCAUUUUAAUAUGUAUUUUUUAUUUCAUGUUGUUUCAACUUUUUUAUUGUUUGUAAUUAAUGUUUAUAAUUAAUAAAUAUAUAUUUUUUAAGGUUUUUUUAUUUUUAAUUCAUCUUUUUAAUUAAUAACUCUUUUAUUUAUAAAAUCAAAUAAUUAUUGUAAAUACCAUUACUUUUAGUAAAUAUAUAUUUUAUAUUUGUAAUAUUUAUCUUUUAAUCCAUAUCCUGAGUGUAGUAAAUUGACAUAUUAUAUAUUUUUAUAUGUGUAUUUGAAAUAAUUAUUUGAAAUAUUUCACUUAUAAAAAUAUUUUAAAUAUCAUACCCACAAUGUAGAUGAAAAAACAAUGAUAUUUGAAAUAAUUAUUUGAUUUUAUAAUACUAGAAAUCACCAGACCCCCAUAAUAUACAUGGAGAAAAUAAAUAUUUGACAUAUAAAUAUUAUAUAUAAAAAUAUAUAUCUAAAUAAUUAGUUACUAUUUUUAAAAAAUAAUUACAUAUUUAUUAUUUAAUUUUAUAGAUAAAAAAGAUAUUAAUUAAAAAUUAAAAAAAUUGAAAACAAUAUAUUUAUUAAUUAUAAAUAUUAAAUAAUAAUAAUAAAAAGCUUGAAACAACAUGAAAUAAAAAAUACAUAUUAAAAUGCUUAUAAGAGAAAUUGAUCGUAGAACUCAAGGAUGAAAUCACAACUAUCUAACCAUCUAACCAAAGAAGCUAAUGUGUCAAAAAUAUUAAUUAAAAAAAAAGCUUAAAACAACAUGAAAUAAAAAAUACAAAUGUGAAUUGGAGAUGAAUCGAACCUAAGACUUAAGGACAAAAGCAUUAACAUUUAACCAUCUAAUCAAAAAAGCUAAGUUAUUAAUUUUCAGUGGAAACAUAUCUUGUAGGACAUGUUUUCAGCUGACGUGGCUGAAAGCGCACCCUUUAAGAUGCAUUUUCAAUGAUAUGAGUGAAAACGCGUUUCUCUCUCUCCAAAAACAACAUAGAUCAGUAAUUUUUUUUAAAGCACAUCUACUUAAUUUUUUUCUUUUUCAGCAUAUAUCAAUAAUUUAGCCUUUUAUGUUUCUAUAUCCAAUAUAUAAAUAAAUUGAUGUAUUUAUUUCUUUAAAUGUGUAUGAUUGAAUAAAAUUUACAGUUUCAUGUAUACAUUUGAAUCAUAACCAAAUCAAAGUUCAUUAUCAAAUUGCACAUUGAAUCGAAUUCAUGUAUAAUUUUGAAAUUUAUUCCAAAUUAUAAUGUAAAAUAAGUUUUGAUUGAACCAAAAAGAUAUUAGAGGUCUUUAUACUUUUUAAAAUUUUAAUUCUCUUAUUUUAAUUUUGAGAAGUUGAAUCUAUAUUUUUUAUAACUUUAUUUGUAAAAAUGUUAGGUAUAAAUAAAGCGCAACUAUGCAUGAAAGGAAUCUACACAUGGAAAUGGAAGUAAAUGAGAAGAUUUUUUUAAAGAUUACAAAAUCAAUCAAAUUAUAUAUAAUUAUACGUUAGAGCAAUCACAAAGUGUAGAACUAAACUAUUAUAGCACAAAUUAAGAACUAGAACAAAGUGUAGAAUCAAACAUUGACAAUCGAAAAUUGUGGAGUGUGUCUCGUAUUACUAGACACUUUGCAGGUACUUAAGAAGACAGUCAAUUAUUGACCUAGGAAGAGCCAAAGCAAGCACAACGUCACAACGAGGAGAACAUCGACGUCAUGAAGAGGAGCGACGUCAUGACGAGGGAAGUGUGGACAUCAUGACGAUGCGACAAACUUCUAACUUAAGUCAAUGACAACAGCGUGACAAGCAUGUAUGGGACAUCACGGUGAUGCAACGUAUUCUCCACGUAAGUAGCCAUGUUUUUUUACUCCAAAUAGGACUUCUUCUUCCAAUCAAACUUUAAUUACUUCAAGGUUAUUUAAGACAUUUUUCCUUUAGUUUUGAGCCUAUUUAAAGGGCCAAUGUAACCCUAAUUUGAUGUACCAAUUAAGAUGUAGCUACAUGCGCCGCGUAAGAGAGCUCAGAAGCGAGGGAAAUUAAGAAGGCAAUUAAUGAUGUAGUAUUACAGGGUUUUUCUUUUGGGGGCAACAAGAUGUAAUUGCAGAUGACUUUUGGUGAGAGUUUUCAUGGUAAUUAUGCAGGGAAUUUUUGUACCCCUUUUGAGAGAACUCUAUGGGAGUUAAUGCUUGAUUUUCAGUGUUUGGGUUUCUACGUGGUUUACUCAUUUCAUGAAAAGCCGAAGCUUCAUUUGCCUGUGGUUUUUAUCCUCUUCGGAGGAGUUUUUUACUUAAAAUUUAUGUGUUUAAUCUUUUUCACUUUUUAUGUUCAUUGCUUAUACAGGUUGAUCCCUAAUAAAUUGGUAUCGAAACAAAGCUAUGUUUCUACAAUUGACCCAUUCAGAGAUGGCAACAAUGAAUUUCGAUAUUGAAAAGUUCAAUGGAAUCGCUGAUUUUAGAUUGUAGCAGAUUUGGAUAAAACAGAGUGUUUAAAGCAAGGUCGGUCGAAAAGGGUGACAUUCAAGUGAAGGAAGUUGAUUUACUCAAUGUUUUCUCUCUUAUUGUGAAGUAGAUGUCAGUUUAUGUAUCACUGACCCUUAUUGCAUUAUACAGCCUUCAUUUGAAGAUUAUGAGUUUUUUGGUUUCCAAGUUCGAGAACGAUUUGGGCUUGGUUGACAUUCUGCAAAGAUUGAGUUUGGCCCUUGACAGGGCCUGAAUAAUAAGGUGUGGUAAAUACGAGUCAAUGUGAAGAUUUGUAAGGUGUGCCUCGCAUUUAUUGGAUAGCUUGCAGGCACUUAUCAAAGUCAACAAACGGCGUUACAAGGAGAUGCUUCCUAACGUUAUGAUGACAGACAACAUCGUAAUGACGCAAAUGAGAACUUUGCGACGUUUAUAAACACUGAGUUUCUUCUCCUAUUUAAACUCUGCUAUCUUUUUCGAGUCAAACUCUGAAUACUCUAGGGCUAUUUUAGUAUGAUUAGAACUCUAAGCUUAACCUAUUUAAAAGGGUCAUUGUAUCCCUAUUUUGUAAGGUAAUUAAGGAUGCAGUACUAUAUGGCUUUUCUUUUUGCCCUACAUUCUAGUUCUUCCUUCAAACCUAAAUGUUUUCUUCUUCUUCUUCGUUAAGGUAGAGCUAAGAUUUCAUUUAAUCAAUGGAUGAUUCGACCUUCUGAUAAGUCUUAUAGUUCUAUAUGUUACGAAUGUUACAGAAUAAGGAUGUAAGAACAGUAGGAUGUGAGUGAAAGGCAUUGUUUGGGGUCGCAUGUAGUUGACACAUUAGUAAACUAUUUGUAAAUAAAGAUUCUAAUAUAAAUUCCAUGAUUUUUAAAGUAAUUGUUGCUAUUGGAUCGGGACGAACAAUCGAAAUAGAAGUUUUAGACUGAGGUAAAGGUGAGUCUCUAGGCUCGUCACCUACACGUUAUAUUACAAUGAUUCUUUACAUGAUUGACGUCUAUAUAGAUAAGAAUACCUUCUUUAAGUUGCAGUAUGCAUGUAUUUUGUGUAUUUUCUGUGAAACACUUGUAUGUAUGUACUGAAGUGUAUAGUGCAUGAAUAUGACAAUAUGUGGUAAGCAUGCAUGAGAAAUUAUGCGUUAAAAAAUAUGAUUAUGUUAAGAAUAUGAGCAAAAUUUGUGUAAACGUGUUCAUUAUGUUAUUUGAGUGAUGCAUGACCAAGUAUGGUUGGUAAUAAUGGGCUUUGGUGGAGUGUCAGAAAAGUAUGUGAUAGGAUAAUAAACCUCACAGUGGUGCUUUGAUAAUGUCUGCCAGGACAUUAAACAUAAAGGUCAGUAUAGAGAAAUGUAGUCUAUCGGGGCCGUAAACACAAGGCCCGUUAGGACAGUAAAAAUGAUAAAAUUUCAGUAUAGCAGAUAUGUGAAAAGACUAUGGCCAUGACACAUUUUGGGAAUGACAGAUAAGCCACAUUUGUCUACUAAGGUUUCUGCGUAUCUCGGGGGUGAUGAUGGGCAAACUUCAGGUGAUGUUAAGUUUAGGAAAAUCUAUAUCGUCAAACACAAAAGUUUAUGUGGUGCUUUGGUGGCAAACGAAACCAAACAUUUGUGGCGAAUUAUCUGAAAAGCCUUUUUGGUGAGUUAUCUGUAAAGCCUUUAUAGUGAAUUAUCUGAAAAGCCUUUGUGGUGAGUUAUCUAAAAAGCCUUUGUGGCGAAUUAUCUAAAAAGUCUUUGUGGUGUAUUGUAUGGAAAGCCUGUAUAACGGAUUUUGUAACACCUAAGUGGCGAGUGGUUAGACCACCUUUGCAGUGAAAUCUGGGUAUACAUUUGAAUAAUUUUCUGAAUAAAUUCUCAGUAGUGUAUCUAAUCGAGGAAUCUCCUUUAGUAAUCCACCAGGACAGAGAAUUUGGUGUAUCCGGAGGUACAGUGGGGUAAAAGUUCGCUGAACCUGGACAUUUUCAUGUUAUGUAUCAAAGUUAUUUGAAAUUCUAUGGGAUGAUCUAAAAUAAUACAUUCAUCCGAGUAAGUACAUUUGUUUGGAUUAAUUUGAAGAUUUGCUGUGAACAGCGUUUUUACAGUUGCCAAAGUUAAUAGGAGAUUCAGUUAAGAGUAGCAUCCAUAUAAAUAUCAUUAUGAGGAGUGUAUAUCCAACAACUAUCUUCAAAAAGAUUGUGUAAUAGGAUUCGAACUAUGGUGUGAAGUCUGUGAUCCGCCAGUCAAUUAAAUUGUCUAUAAAGUGUUCAAGUGUAGAGAUUGGCGUAUAGUUAUCUGCCAACCAGAAAUCAGAAAAGUUUUGGCCAAGGUUUGAAAGAAAGUCCAAUAUCUUAAAGUCGAUGAUUUCUUCAGUGGUGUUAAAAGGUAAAAUUGGUUGAGACUCAUUAAGUUCCAUUAAACUUAUGAGUGUUUAUUUGUAAUGCAGGUUUUUGAGUUGAACCAGUUUACCAGAAGGGACCAACUCAAGAAUGUGCCAAGGUGGUUAAUCAUAGUGCGAUAUUAUGCAUACAAAAGGAUACUUUUGGGAAUAUGUUUUCAAAUGGCGAAUUGUAACACCCCAGACCCGGCCUAAACGUUAUGGCUGAAUCUGGUGAUGUCACAGGAAAAAGCUUUUGAAAACUAAGUCAUUAGAUAAACCAUUUCUCUUUCUAAACAAUUUUUGUUAUCUUAUAUUAUCAAGUUAUUUGGUUCUAAAACAUUUUCCAUUUAUUUACAAGUCUUUGUAAUUUGCGGAAGUUUUUAAAACGGUUUACAUAUUGGUGAGUGUUUUGAAAGAAAACAUUUGUAACUUUUGAAAACCUAUGUUUUCCUACCACUAGUGAUUACGAAUCAUAAGCAACAAUAAAUAAAUCCAAAAUUAAGGUAAAAAUCCAUAAAGGUCUUAUUACAAUAAAAACACCCCAAAUAAUAAUACUUAAAACCAUAAUCAAAUACAAAAAUUUAUGCGGUUGUGCGGCCACCUCUGAGUCCCUCGCUGUACCGGUCCACCUAUGACUGAGGAUUACCUGCACAGUAAAACAUAAGGGGUGAGUUUACUAAAACUCAGUGCGUAAUCCCCAUGUAGUUAUACAGUCGAAAUGAAACAGUAACAGACUGAGCCUAAGCCCUUCAUAGUAACAACAUCGUUUUGGGCCUUAGCCCAUCACAUCUCAGUAAUUAGUUGGGCUACAGCCCAUCACAAAAUCAGUAUGCAGUAGCAGUAAUACGGUUUACAAUAUGCAAGUCCUACCCAACCAUUCGCUAUACACCAUCUCCUGUCCAACCUUGCAUUCUUGUGGGGAAUAAAUCGCCCACCGAUCCUUACACUUACAAAUUAGCAUCGGUUGCGGCACUAAAUAGUAUUUGCAGCAGAAUUUCCAGUAUAUUAGGCUUAGAGCCAUCAGUGAUUUGUAGCAAAGUUGCCAGUACAGUACACUUCCUCCAAUCAUAUUAUCCCAACCCCAUGUAGUGCAUCAUACAAUCAUGACAUGACAUGCCAUCUCAUGAAAACAUGCAUAUAAUCAGAACAAUAUAAAUAUUAUGCUUAGUAUACAGUCAUACAUAUUCUAAUAGCACACAGUCAGUUAAGGAUCUAGGUAAAGCUCACCAACCCCAUAGUAGGUCCACAGUGAACUCAGGCGACUCAUGCAACCUUAGUAGCCAAAUAGUGAAAAUGGGCUCAUAAACCCAUGUAACUAUCCCAUAUAGGCCCACACGCUCGUAUGACCUACAAAGCCUAAAAUGUCCUUAGCCAUGUAGAUCACACGGCCUGGCCUAAUAAUCUCACACGCCCGUGUGGUUCAUCCGUGUGAGGCCCAGACGCCGAAUUUGGCCUGGCCCAUGAAUCGUACAUGACCAGCCUCGUCGAUCAUACGCCUAUUUCGUCACACAACCUACCACACGGGCAGUCGCACGCCCGUGUGGCAUUGACGAUUCCCACCUUUUCAAUUUACAGGGUUGUGUUUACACAUCUGUCAUGAAUUCGAUGUCGAAAACUCCCUAAGCCCGAAUAUUUAUCAAGGGUCAUUCAAAACUGAUUAGUACCUAUUAAAGGUCAUUCAAAACCAAUUAGUAGUUUAAUUCACAGGUCUUAACAAUCGUUAAUAGUAUUAGCUUGACCUACCUCCAAGAAGACCCUUCGUUAAUGCCAUUAAACCAAGAACCACGAUUACCUAAGAACUUUCCUUUAGCCAAAAUAACUCCACUUAGUCAGUUAAAGCUGUGUUAAAUCAAAAUGUACAACCAAACCCGAACACUAAAUUCAUAACACAUUACCUUUGAUCAAGUAAAGAGGGAAGUUCCGUCCACCCUAACACUAGUUAAAGAUCUUCCACCCUUCGAAUAGUCCCUAAGCACGAACCAAAAAUAGGUAAGCAUUUUCUCACUGAAAUAUCACACUUACCAACAACGCGAGAAAAGAACCAAUUAAGAACUACAAGACUUAACAACAAGAAGAGAAUGCUCACUAGAAAGUAAUACCGUCGGCUCCAAGAGGAAGAAAAGAAUCAAUGACAAAGAAUAUGAAAGAAAGGAUAAAUUCGGCCAAGGGAAAACAAAGUGGAGAACAUUUUCUCACUACACAGUAAGAGUAGAAGAACCAAACAAAUAAUCGGUAACGAAGGAGAAAGGAACACUAGUUGUAGGCACAGCAAAACCGAAAAGAACAACUACCCUAGCUGAAACAAACACUUCAAGGAAAUUUGACCAAAAAGAAAAAGCAAAAAGAAGAGACAGACAGCAACUAGAGAGGUAGAGAAAACAAUCGUCAAAAAGAAAAACCAACAUUAGGGAAAUGAGAGGAACCGAAUUUUGAAAAAAAGAUCCCAAUAAUCAGAUAAUUCCCCCUUAUUUUCUUCUAAAAUUUGGCCACUAAAUCCCCACACUUCAAACACUCCAACCGCCUACCAGCAUUAGAAUUUCACUAACACACAAUCACUUAUACGGCAACAGUAAAAAUAAAAAAUAAAAACCUUCGUUCGCACAAAGACUUGAACUCUUGACCCUCAGCUCAUAAGCACUCCCCUUAAGCACCAAACUAGCAAGCCUAUUCUGCCAAAUUCUAUCAACAUUUAUUUAUAAGUCUACUGACUAAAAGAUGGGACUUUAUUCACUUAAAACAAAAAUUUUGCACAAUCCAAAGCUUGAACCCAAGACUUCUCAGACACUUUCAGAACACAUAACCACUGAAGCAGAUACACGUUUAUGUCAUAAACAUAACUAAAUAAAUAUUAACAAUACGUUUGGUUGGAUGAAAUUGCUUUUCCAUUUUGCCCUAAUUCCACGCGCUACAGUAUAGUACUGUUUAGGUGAUUCCACGGAAUUGCUAUUACAUGCUCAUUCCCUCAUCUCACCGUUUAGGUAUUCAAGGGUUAGGGGUCUGAAUACCUAUUCAACACCACACAAUUUAGGUUUUUAGACCAAAAUAGCCUUCCUCCCUUCUUCCUAAAUUCUCUCUAGAUUUCUUCCUUCCUAAAUCAAGCAUCCAUUCGUUUUUUUUCUAUUAUGUGUUUCUCAGGCUGCUUGCAAGUCGGCACUAAAAAUGGAAUCAGUGUUUUCCCUUGAUGUUAUUUGUUGUAGUCUUGAUGAAUCAAUGAGUCUAAAGAAUUUCGGGCUCUCUGAUGCUUGUCUGGCCACUUUAGCAUCUCAAGGUUUGCAAAAUUUACUUACUUUUCUCUUUCCUAGUUUUCCCUUUUCAUUGCAGUGUUUGAACCAUUACUUUUUAUUAUGUCUAUGGAAGAUGAACUGAUUUUUUCACACUUCUUUGAGGGGUUCAGAAUUAAAAACCCAGUUUUAAUCUAUAGAAGAUAGAUUGGAUUUUUACCCUUUCGAAAGGGGUUUAAAGUUAAUUACCAUUUUAGAUGAUGAAUGAGCUUCUAUAUUUCCAUCUUUGUCUUCACAGCUAAUCAAAAGGUUGAUCACUCUGAUUUAUCAUUUGGAGAAAAUAUGUAAUUUUUUGGAGUCCUGAAAGUUCUUUAUAUCGUAUAAAAGCCACACUCUUUUUUGCUGGUCUUUUUUUUUUAUUUCCUUUAGAACUAACUCUGAACCUAAAAUUGCAGGUAUAAUGGAGAUAAAGCAAACAACAUCAAGGUUACAAAUAAGCCUGCUACAGAUUCCAUAGAAGUAACUAAAGGUAGAGAUUACUGACUUUUUGUACACUUUUAAGUUACCCUUGACAAUCCAUUAUUGGGUUUUUGACUAGCAAUAGAAGUCUCUAAUUAGUGUUAUGUUAUUUAUUUUACACCAUGAUACAUAGCAGAAGGCGAAAAGGACCCAAAUCAAGUUGAAGUUAAGAGGCCAAUUUUACAAAUAUCCAAGGAUGGUUAUGAAAGUCUUCCUUCGUAUAUGACUAGUUUAGCAUCGUGGGAGGUAUGCAACUCAUGCUUUUGGUUUUUGAGGAUUCUAUUCUAACUAAUGUUUUAAACAUAAAAUGCUAUGCUAGAGUUGUGCUCUUAUGGUUGAGCCACACUGGCGAGAAGGUUUUCAAAGAACUCUUUGCACAUUAAAUAGGACAUGAUAAAAAUUUUGAAAAUAGUAAAAGCAAAAUUAAGAUGGUAAAAAUACCAAAUUACAACCUGUUGUUGAAUUGAAACAAUUACUUCUUGACAUUGUGCUAUUCAAAUGUAUUAUGGGGUGAGGGACAGGGCUGAGAAUAAAAACCAAUUUGCAUAGUAAUGUACAAUUCUAUUUCUUUUGGGUUAUAACUGAAUGUAUGGAGCCAUGUCCCUAGUAUAAUGCUUAGAUUGUUUCCUUCUUGUAUGUGAACAGUGAACCUGAUCUGGUUUAGCUAAGGCAUUAGAAUGGUGGUAUUAACUGAUUUAAAGCUUUCUCUUUAUAGGUGCUAAUAACAUAAAAUAUCUUGAAUGCAAAAUUCUUGGUUUUUUUUUCUUUUAAUUGCGAAUUCUAUUUAAAGAAAGCAUAACCACUGCCUUCUUGGAUGAUAAUCAUCUAAUACAAAAUGCUUUCUUCAUUUUUAUUUUUACUUUUCUUUUUUUGUUGAGGGGGCUUUCAGGAUGUGCUUGCAAUUGUGGAGAAGAUCAACUCAAGUUUGAACAAGAAAAAAAAACAAAGGGUUAUAAUUACUUCUACCAAGAUGAAAUUGAAGCCCUGGGCUUAGGUAAUGCACCGCAUCCUACUAUUUGUCUGUAGUUGGAUUAUAUUUUAUUAUAUUCCUACGACUUUAGGUGUAACAUUGAACAUGGAUUUCUGUUUGGCAUGAUAUAUUCAGUUUCUUUUUCAAUAUUUUCAUAUACUUAGAUGGGUCUUAAGAGGAUCAUGUCCAGAUACAUGUCUUGGGAGGAUUAUAUACUUAUACCCAUAUUUGAAUAUGCAUGGGAUGCAUGUGCCAGAUACAGAUAUUUCAAGAAAAAUGUAAAGUUAGAAGCCAUAUAAUCAGUAUAUUCCAUUGGUUUAAUCGGGGAACACUUAUCGCACUGGCAAGUUGUGCUGUUAGAAGUUAGAACAAAGCAUGUCCUAGAUUAAUUAUUUGCAAUCUGGAUAUAUCCUCAACCAGAGAUGGCCAAUUCAUUUUGUCUAAACCUUAAACAUAGCAUGUAAAUGGUUAACAUCUAAAACCCGAGUUGACAAGUUCUGAUUGGUGCAUACAGGGCCUAAAGGACGAGCUUACUUGCUGCUAUUGGUACGCAUGAAUCAUCUUAUUGUGGAGAUCACUAAUGGGUGGAUUUCUUAAUGAGUGUUGUGAAUUAGAACCAACCUGUUGUGAAUUAGUUCUUUUGUUAAUAAAAUUCACUGUUAAACAAUGAUGGGAGGUAAUAUUCAAGGUUGAAUUAAUUUUUAUUUGAAAAAAAAUUAAAUCUAAUUUUUCAUUUUAUGGAAAAAAAUCUUUUUAAAAACAAUAGAUGGGUAAUUGAAAAUAUAAAUUUUCAAUCUUAAUCAUCAAUUAAUUCCACAUUAUUAAAAAAAGCACAAAUUGAUGGAAUAUUUAAUAAAAAUAUUAAUUUUAACUUUUAUUUAUCUUAUAAAGGUUAAUUUGUACAAUUUUUUAAUAUUAAAUGAAAAAUGCAAUAUAGAUUGUAAUUAUUAAAUUGUUGGUAGUAAUUUUGCACUUGAAGGAGUGACGCGACAGUGAGCACUUUUCUGACUCCAAAUCUGGAAAUUGAAAACACAAAAAACAUAAGAAUUGUUUACACAAUUCAUUUCUCUAUGUUUGCUGUAAGGCCCAAAUUUUGCCCGGGGCCCAAUAAAACCAAACCCAAAUUAAACCUAGCCCAUUACCCAGUUACAAGCCCAAACCCAAGUUUGGCCCAACCUAAUCCCAUUACACUAGCCCAACCCAAACACAAAAAAAAACUAAAAAAAAAACUAGCCACCAAAGUCCGUCACCACCCACACCUCCACUUGCUCCACUUGCUCCACUUGCACCUGCAAAAUAGAAAAAAGAGAAAAGACAGCAACAAAUAAUAAUAAAAUUUGUAAAAAAGGGAUGGCUAUAAGAAAGCCAUCCGAAAAUCAGGAAGAAAAGGGGGGGAUUUUGGAUUCUAUCUCAUUUUUUUCAGCUAAAAAUAGAAGUCGAAAAGAAAUCGUAAAAGGGGGGAUCCCCAUUCUUGUACGCAGGAUUUGAGAAAUAAAAGAAAAAAAAUACAAAGAAAAGGUGGAUUUCCGAUCGUAUUCUCUUGGUUUUCAUUUUGUUCUUUAGUUUCUUUUUUAUUUUUGUUUACAAAUCUAUUAAACGAAAGUGGGCAUAAAAAAUAAAAAAAAAAGAAAGGAGAAGAGAGUCUUACCGGAUCCACCCCGAGGUUGUGUCGCCGGAGUUUUCUUUUCCGUCGUCAGAAUCGACGCAAGGAGAAGGUGAGGGGUUCUUUCUCCUUUGUUUUCUUCGAUAUAGAGAGGCCUCACCAUUGAAUCUUCCUUUAAAAGUGCCAAAAACCCAGUUCCAUGAGGCUUUAAACCACCGUUUACGAUGGAAGCCACGGCGGGUUCACGAUGGUUUGGUGACAGUUCAAAAGGGGGAAGGUAGAAAACCUAGCAGAGCAAAGAAGUUGAGGAGAAGGGGCUGCUCUCUUUAUUUAUUUCUACUGAAUGAAUAAAAUGGAGGGUGAAUGUUUUAAGAAAAAAAAAUGUUUUUUUUUAAAAAGGGAUUUGGGUGUUCUAAAAGUUUUUUUUUAAAAAAAAGGGGCCACUGUUCUUUAAUUUUAAUUGUUUUUGGGGAAAGGGAAAAGGUGGCCUGCGCAUGGACAGUUGGUUCUGCGCAUGUUCCCCUUAAAUGGGUAAUUUGCGCGGCCAGUCCUUCCUAUUUUGCGUUACCUUUAAUUUGUCCCUAUUAUGUUUCUUUCAUUUUUCUCCAAAAGUUUGCAUGAUGUUUCAGUUUGGUCUGCGCCUAAGUAGUGUUUUUGGUGAUUUGGGUCAUUUUCAAUUUUGAUCCCCGAGCAUUUGUGCGCGUUUUAUUUCGGCCCACAAUUUUGUUUAUAAAUUAUCCCUUUGGUUUUGUUGUGCUUACAAUGAAGUUUUUUUCCUUAAGAAAUAAGAGCAUAUUAUUUUAGCAUAUAAUCUUGUAUUGUUUUGAUGAUUUCGUUGUUUUUUUUUAUGUGCAUAUUUUUUUUUCUUUUCUUUUUUCAAAUACUUUCGUAUAUUAUCAUUAUCUCUUUUAUAUAUAUAUAUAUAUUAUAUUAGGUUUAUUAAUUUCAUAUAUUAUUUACUUAAAUGUUGUACAUAUAUCACUUUGCAUAUUGCUAAAUCUUUUUGAAACUUCAUUUAUGUAUUAUAUAUAUAUUUGAUGCAUCUCAAAUUUCCAUGUAAAUUAUUUUAUGGCAUUUAUUUUAAAAUUCAUUCGUAUGAUAUUAUUUAAUUUAUUACUUAUUUAUAUUUUUCUAUUUAUUUUAAAAGUUUUAUAUUCAUUAUUUGUUUUAAAGUCUUUGUAUUACUUUUAUACUAGUGUUCUUUUAAAAUUUCCUUUCUUCCCUAUUGUUCAUUUUAUUUUAAAAAUUGAUAUUUUAUUUGAGUAAUUUGCUUAGAACUUCUUUUAAGUUGGCUUUUAAUUCAUUAGCUUAUAAUUAUUAACAUUUGUAUUUAUAUAUUUGUUCCUUCAUGUUUUUGUAUCAUUCUUGAUUAUUCAUGUAAUGUUAUUGUCCCAAAUUUUUAUUUCUGGCUCAAUACUAAGCUUGCAUGCUCUUUAUUGCAUCAUGUUUUUUUAAUUCCAACUUCUUUCUCAACGUCAAUUGUUUUUAUCUCUAAAUAAUCAAACAAGUAUAUUGACUCAUAUUUUUGCAAUUGUAUUUGAAACUUCACAAAUCAAGGCAAUGUUUCGUGUUUGGAAAUUCGGGAAAUAGUUGUGUCCUAACUCACUAGAUAUGACAUUUUGUUACCUCGAAAUAAGAUUUUUCGUAAGUAAAGGCAAUAUUAGAUGUUUGGCAAUUCGGGAAAUCGUACCCUAUCUUGCUGGGUUGCAAUUUCCUAUUUGUUCGAAACAAUCGAAUAUUCCUUCGGUGUUCCACUCGUGUCUUUUAAAAAUUUUUAUUAAAACGAAAGAAAUGUUCGAUAUUUAGCAAUUCAUGGAAUCGUGCCCUAACGUGUUGGGUUGCAAUUUCUCGUUUGCUCAAAAUAAUCAAAUGUCUCUUUAGAAUUUCAUUCAUGUUUUCUAAAAAAAAAACUUAUAAAGGAAAUGUUCGGUAUUUAGCAGUUCGGGGAAUAGUACCCUAUCGUGCUAGGUUGCAAUUUCCUAUUUGCUCAAAAUAAUUGAAUAUCUCUCCGGAAUUUCACUCGUAUCUUCCAAGGUGAGGCAAUGGUCAAUGUUUGGAAAUUCGAGGAAUCGUGCCCUACUGUGCUGGGUAUCGAUUUUUCGUUAGACCAAAUAGUUGGGCAUCCUUUUGUUAUUUUCGAAUUACAAAUUUUCGAACGUCGAAACAAGAAGAUUUUUGGCAAUGGACUCGGGUUAUUCAAAUGUUAUUAACAAGAACCACAUUUCAAAAACAUUUUUAAUUUUAGACAAAAGGACAGUAUUUAAUCAAUUUGGUACCAAUUUUGGGUGUAAUGAGGGUGUUAAUCCUUCCUCAUACGUAACCGACUCCCGAGCCUAUUUUCUCAUAUUUUCGUAGACCAAAAUCAUUGUUUUAAUAAACCAAAAUGUUUUAUUAAAACAACCCAAAUUUCUAGGUGAUUCGAUCACACCUAAACAAAAAAUGAUUGGUGGCGACUCCAUUUUCGCUUUCCAAAAAGUCGACCCAUCAUUUUUAAAACGAAAUAAAAAAUGGUUUCGACAGCUUGGCGACUCCACUGGGGACGUAAAUAAGAGAGUCAAGCCACAAGUUGAUUAACUUUUGUCUUUUCAUCGAAAAUUGAAAAUUUGGUUUUGAAAUACGAUUCUUUCAUUGGAUUUCAUCAGCUAUUUUUGUGGUUUAUGAUAUAAUACCUGCUGUAUUAGUUUGAGUCUUUAAAUAGCUUUGCAUAUUGCAUUGCAUGACCGUUGUGGUUUCACAUUUUAAGUGGGAGUGAGAAACUAUGCUUUCGUGAGGUUUUCACGUCCGCAUGGGCUAGGGGAUCGCUUCCAGAAUGCAUCCGUACUUAUGUCUUCGUGAGGUUUUCACCUCCGCAUGGGCAUAAGGAAAUGUAUUCCCCUGAACUGAACUUGGUCCAUAUGAGCCUAUAAUGGGUGAGGACCGAGGAAUCUACUGGUUCGGGUACCCUUACUCUAGAAUCGAGCCACAUAUAGAGACACCUAGGAGCUUACCCUAGGCAGAGCCACUCCGGACCCCUAGUGAUCACCCGAUUAGGUAAUUUAUUGGUUGUUUAUUUCGAUACUAACAUGUUUUGUUUUUUGUUCAUUCAUAACUGCAUUGCAUUACAUCAUCAUAGAAAGGAGGUGUUGAUAUUCAAUUGCUAAAUAGAACAAUUUGUCAUAAGAAAACAAAUUUCUUAAUAACGCGAAUUAUAAUACGGUUGUCUGAAUUCGAUCCAAGUGAACACAACAGAAAAAGGCUAACAGUUCGUGGAAGAAAACAAAACUUUACCUAAGGAUUCAAGCUGAUAAAGAUUAUCCAAAAAUCGUCGCGUCCCGACUUUCUUAAAGGAGCUAAUCAACGUUGCAAGGAUAGUAAUUCGUGGCCUGGAUCAAGCAAAAAGGAGCUAGUAGAGGCAUGCAUUGGAAGCUUGCAAGAUUUGACUUUCACGAAGAAAGGGGAUCAGUGCCUUCGCCUCGAAUAUGAAAGCAAGGUCGUAUACAUAAUCCGUUUUAUGGAAAAGAUUUUGUUUUAUAGAAAAGUUGUUCUAGGGGAAUUGAAUUCAAAAUCAACAUCUUUCUUUCCUUUGCAUUCAUCCCAUGCAUUUGCAUUGCAUUGCAUCAUGUGCAUUGCAUUGCAUCAUUUGCAUUAGAUUUUCCCAAAACGACCCUAAUUAGGUAAAAUUAUUUUAGAACCGACAAAAGAUAUGGACCAAAGGUUGGAAAGAAUGGAGCAAAGGCAAAUGCAGAUGCAAGAGUAGUUGAUCGAAAUUCAACAGGAUAUGCGAGAAAUGCUAGAACUCCAAAGAAAUAUGAUGGGCAAGUUAACCCAUUUACUGGCCGGAGAAUUUGAAAAAAUGAGUGGCCCAGUGGUCAAUAGUGAGGAUGAUGUUGAAGAGAUUAUCUAUUCCCCAGGCUUUGCCCCAAUAAGCGUCCCGACCCAACCAGACAUGCAAGGGGUACCUGUUGUUAUAGGACACCAACACCAGACGGAUACAUCAACACUGUUGAGCUUCUCGAUGGGUUCAGGUUUUAACCCGAAAGAUGAUCAAGCCGAGCCAGUUAUUCUGGAAGAAAAGAAGGCAAGGGGAGAGUGGACUUUAAAAGCCCCGAAGAAGAAGGAAACGAAGGAAAAUAGUACGAGUAGGUAUAACAAGGGUCAUUCGGAGCCGGUUAUAGCAGGCCAGCCAAGGUCAGUAACUAUCAGCAAUCAGACCUCCUCAAGGCAAGAACCCAAUCGAAGACCGAGCUCAGAAAAACCCCAAUACGUGCCCAUUCCAAUCAUGUAUGGAGAGUUGUACCGCAUCUUGUUCGACGCACAUGUCGUAUCCCUUUUUUACCUGAAACCUAUACUACCCCCAUAUCCUAAAUGGUAUGAUGCAAGCAGUCAAUGUGAAUACCACGCGGGAAUUAUGGGGCAUUCCAUCGAGAACUCUACCGCUUUUAAAAAGAUUGUCGAAAGACUCACCAAUUUGGGUAUCGUAAAAUUAGAUGAUCCCUUUGGAGUGGGAAAUCGGUUAUCCAACAUUUCUGUUAAAGAGGCGAACGUUAUGAGUUCCAUGCUGGAUUGGGGCAUGAUAUUUAAGGGUGUAUUGAGCUCGGAACUCUAAUGCAAGGCCUGGUAUUGGGAAACCCGAACAUCAACGACGUAUUAGAAGAGGGAACCCGGGAGUAGACUUUUUCAAGCUUCUGCCCUUACGUACUUAGGGUGUUUUAAACAAUGGGACUGUGAAAAGGAUCCUUUAUUUUUAGAGCUAAUCUGGAGUAAUAUUCAAAACAAGCUUGUUGUUUUAAGCCUAGAAGCAACAAGAAUCCUUUUGUGAAAUAGGCUUAUAUCCAAAAUCUUUAUUUCAAUGAAAUACAUGUUUGAGUAAAUAUUCUUUUAUUCUUUCCAUUUUAUACUGUACAAACGACUAUUCUUAGAUUCUUUCAUUCAUGAUCAUAUCAUACAAAUAAUCAUUAUUAGAAUCAUUUAUUCUUUGGAAAACGCCUUCGUACCUAUAACAGGUCCCCAGAUAUCAAUAAUGUGAGCGACACUGUCACCGACUCCGAGUCUCUUUUUGAGCGAAAUAUUGACCCAAAGGGAUCUCAGCACUUUGAAGAUGACAGAGAUGGUGCCCUAUCUCCAAAUUUGUUAAGAAUGGUAGAACAAGAUAUCCUACCUUACAAAGAGUCAGUGGACAGUAAGAUUAGGACAAGAGAAAGAGGCAAAUAUCAGAGUCUGCAUCACCACAAAGACAAAGCUAGAUGUCAUUGAGUUAUUUCCAAGAAUUUGAAUAUUCUUGCGCGACUGUAUCAAGAUACGCCUGGCCACUAAGAAGUGAGGAUAUUGCAGAGUUUUUGAACGACGUAUACUAAUGACAUAUACGAUGGCGAAGCUAAUCAUGAGAUUUGGUUUCUCCUGGUCCACCGUAGAAAUGGAUUACAUCAAUAUGCUAUAAAUGCCAAAUUUAUGGAAACAAGAUUCACGUGCCCCUUCAUUUCUCCAUAGACUUUUUCUAUGUGGGGGCAUGAAGGUUAUGAGCUGAUCUAUUUGAAAGCUUCUAACCAAUACCGAUUCACCUUUGGGGUCAUCGAUUACUCCGCAGAAAGGGUAAAAGUUGUUUCAUAUGCUAAUGUCACUAGGUCGACAGUCACCAAAUUCUAAAAAAAAAGGUGCCAAAAAAGAGUGUCAGAAAAUCAUGUCUAACACAACUGUACAAUGUCAAAAGGUUACAGUCUGUUCAAAGAUUAGGCGCUAUAUGGCAAAAGAAAAAAAAAGACCCGAUGACAAAUUAAAUAUCAUGGGGAAGAUGACCGAGACUUGUAAAGAUUGGUAUAAGAAGUCACCAUUUACCCUUUAUGCUCAUCGAACGUUGGCCAAGACCUUUACCGGGGCAGUGUAUUUCAUCAGUCUAUGGGAUAAAAAAUGAUUUUAAAGAAGAGAUUUCUUGUUUCUGAGUCUUGUCAGACCUGAAGGUGGAUAAGGCAAUCCCGAUACGAUCAGUUGAAUUUGAAGAAAGGAGGUUGAAAGCCAUCCGUCAUGGUCCAAUGAACGAUGUGAGUUUACAAUGAAGAGGUUCAUCCUAGAGAGUUCUACGAGGGGAACUUGAUAAUAAAAAUAUCCCUCCUAUAUAAAAGACUUCAGAGAAAAAUGGAUGUCGAACUAAGAAGGACCUUAUGUAGUAAAAAAGACCUGUUUUGGAGGGGAAUCAAUGUUGACCGAGAGGGAUGGCAAAGAUUUGCCCAAGUCGGUGAAUUCGGAUUUCGUCAAGAAGUAUUUCACCUAGAAAAUGAGAGGCCAAGGCGAAAACCCGCGAAGGGCGCUUUGAGACUUUCAAAAAAAAAAGAAAGAAAAAAAGAGAAGAAAAAAGGAGAGGCCAAAGUGAAAACCAACAAAGGGCGCUUUGAGACCAAAGGGGAUUUGAGUUGAAAACCCGGAAAGGGCGGCUCAAAUUUGGAUCGAAGUGGGGCAUAUAAUAGUCUUGCUAUACCUGAAUUAACAAUAAAGAAGUAUGCUACGUCUUGGGGCAUCAACAAAGUGCUUCGAAUCCCCUAAACACGUAUUGAGCUCAGAAAAGUCCUUAAGAAGUUGGUACAGAGAAGCUCAAGCUGCGAUAUCUGGGACACCUAGUUUUCUAUUUUACCCAUUUUGAAUUUGCUAUAUUUGAUUAACUUAUUCGUUUUGAGUUAAUUUCCUCCUUAUUGCAUUUGCAAACUUUGAUUAAUUUAUUCCUUUCGAGCUAUGCUCCCAAUCAAUUUCCUUCUUGUCCAUUAUUUUGAUCUUUUUCGAGCAUUUUGCAUUGAAAUAACGAUUAAUGGACCAAUAAUACUUUCACAAAAGAAGUUCUGCAUAUUACUCUGGAAGUUUCUAAAUAAUACAAGAACCUGAAACAGGACUAUUGUUUAGAACUCACCAAGCCUAAGGGUUGGAAAUAUUAUCUCUUUGGACUCUUUAUUGGUUGAACCAAAAGAUAAGACAAGACGAGCUAUGUCAACCUAAGUGUAAAAGAGGGUCAUUCUCGAGAAAAGAAGAUGAUACUCUGCAUUCAUAUACAUCUGGUCAUUACACCCAGGGAAUAGUGUAACAGAUCAAACUGAUUCAAGAUGAUACAAAUCCUAUGCCUUUGAGUUGCAGCAGAAUGGAUGGAAGAAACCAAAUGUUAUUCCUCUGAAAUUGCAGUAAGAGGCACAAACUUUAUGUCCCAAAAGGUAUAGUGGAAGGGACUCUGAAAUUACAGUGGGGCAAGCUUGCUGAGCAAAAUGUGAUUAUUUCUUUGACUUUUCUGUCAAGAAUACCAGCAGAAUAAGAUGCCAGCAUAAUACGUCAGUGAUAAUAUCCUAAUGAACAACGAACGAUGAUACCUUAAGCCUUUUAAAAAAAAACUCAUGACAUUUCUACAUUUAUAUAAUAACACAUCUAGUUAGGAGCAUUUGAUUCAUUUCAUAACAUCCUAAUUAUUUGACAUAAAGCAUCACAUUUAGUUAGGAGCAUUUGAUUCAUAGCAUCCUAAUUAUUUGGCAUAAGCAUGGAUACAUGAAACUGAUUUUACAGAUCAUGUUCCUUAGAGAACAGUGCAGUAAAAUCGGUGAAUUCACAAGUCUUAUCUCCCUGAAGUUACAGUGGAGUAGACUGAAGAUAGCAAAUCAUAUUUCCCUAAAGUUGCAGUGGAACAGAUUGAAGCUAAAUUACAGAUCUUAUCUCUCUGAAGUUGCAGUAGAACAGGUCGAAGUUACAAGUCUUAUCUCCCUGAAGUUGCAGUGGAGCAUAUUGAAGAUAGCAAAUCUUAUUUCCCUGAAGUUGCAGUGGAACAGAUUGAAGCUAAAUUAUAGAUCUUAUCUCUCUGAAGUUACAGUAGAACAGGUCAAAGUUACAAGUCUUAUCUCCUUAAAGUUACAGUGGAGCAGACUGAAGAUAGCAAAUCUUAUUUCCCUGAAGUUGCAGUGGAACAGAUUGAAGCUAAAUUACAGAUCUUAUCUCUCUGAAGUUGCAGUAGAGCAAGUCGAAGUUACAAGUCUUAUCUCCCUGAAGUUGCAGUGGAACAGAUUGAAGCUAAAUUACAGAUCUUAUCUCUCUAAAGUUGCAAUAGAGUAGGUCGAAGUUACAAGUCUUAUCUCCCUAAAGUUGCAGUGGAGCAGACUGAAGAUAGCAAAUCAUAUUUUCCUGAAGUUGCAGUGGAACAGAUUGAAGCUAAAUUACAGAUCUUAUCUCUCUGAAGUUGCAGUAGAGUAGGUCGAAGUUACAAGUCUUAUCUCCUUGUGCUUACAAGGAGCAGAUCGAAGACAUAGCUGAUUUGGCUUUCACGUGUUUACGUUGAAGCAGAUCCAAGAUGAUUUGGCAUCUCUGUAUCAAGCGGGGAGCAGAUCGAAGACAUAGCUGAUUUGGCUUUCACGUGUUUACGUUAAAGUAAAUCCAAGAUGAUUUGGCGUCUCUGUAGCGGCGGAGAGCAGAUCGAAGAUAACAGAUUUGGCGUCUCUGUAGCGGCGGAGAGCAGAUCGAAGAUAACAGAUUUGGCGUCUCUGUAGUGACGGAGAGCAGAUCGAAGAUAAUAGAUUUGGCGUCUUCGAUUUGGCAUCUCUGUAGCGGCAGAGAGCAGAUCGAAGAUAAUAGAUUUGGCAUCUCUGUAGCGGCAGGGAACAGAUCGAAGAUAACAAAUUUGGCGUCUCUGUAGUGGCGGAGAGCAGAUCGAAGAUAGCAGAUUUGGCGUCUCUGUAGCGGCGAAGGGCAGAUCGAAGAUAAUAGAUUUGGCGUCACUGUAGCGGCGGAGAGCAGAUCAAAGAUAACUGAUUUAGCAUCUCUGUAGCGGCGGAGAGCAGAUCGAAGAUAACGGAUUUGACGUCUCUGUAUUGUCAAGAGAGCAGAUCAAAGAUGACAGAUUUGGCGUCUCUGUAUUUGCAGAGAGCAGAUCAAAAAUAAUAGAUCAGUGUUUCUGAGUUUUCAAGGAGCAAGUUGAAGAUAGCAAAUUUGACACUCCUGAAGACAUCAGAAUACUUUUAGGGAAGAUGAGGAGCAAGAUUUUGAGGUUUAGCCAGACCGGGCAAAUUUGGUCCUUUUUAUAGUCUUUGCUCCAUUCUCGUUACACGAUAAUGAGCAAAGAGGGGUAGCUGUAAGGCCCAAAUUUUACCCGGGACCCAAUAAAACCAAACCCAAAUUAACCUAGCCCAUUAUCCAGUUACAAGUCCAAACCCAAUUUUGGCCCAACCUAAUCCCAUUACACUAGCCCAACCCAAACACAAAAAAAAAACUAGCCACCAAAGUCUGUCACCACCCACACCUCCACUUGCUUCACUUGCACCUGCAAAAUAGAAAAAGGAGAAAAGACAACAACAAAUAAUAAUAAAAUUUGUAAAAAAGGGAUGGCUAUAAGAAAGCCAACCGAAAAUCAAUAAGAAAAGGGGGGAUUUUGGAUUCUAUCUCAUUUUUUCGGCUAAAAAUAGAAGCCGAAAAGAAAUCGUAAAAGGGGGGAUCCCCAUUAUUGUACGCAGGAUUUGAGAAAUAAAAGAAAAAAAACACAAAGAAAAGGUGGAUUUCCGAUCGUAUUAUCUUGGUUUUCAUUUUGUUCUUUAGUUUCUUUUUUAUUUCUUUUUUAUUUUUGUUUACAAAUCUAUUAAACGAAAGUGGGCAUAAUAAAAAAAGAGAGGAGAAGAGAGUCUUACCGGAUCCACCCCGGGGUUGUGUCGCUGGAGUUUUCUUUUCCGUCGUCAGAAUCGACGCAAGGAGAAGGUGGGGGGUUCUUUCUCUUUUGUUUUCUUUGGUAUAGAGAGGCCUUACCAUUGAAUCUCCCUUUAAAAGUGCCAAAAACCCGGUUCCAUGAGGCUUUGAACCACUGUUUACGGUGGAAGCCACGGCGGGCUCACGAUGGUUUGGUGACAGUUCAAAAGGGGGAAGGUAGAAAACCUAGCAGAGAAAAGAAAAGAAGUUGAGGAGAAGGGGCUGCUCUCUUUAUUUAUUUCUGCUGAAUGAAUAAAAUGGGGGGUGAAUGUUUUAAGGAAAAAAAAGGUUUUUUUUAAAAAAAGGGAUAUGGGUGUUCUAAAAGUUUUUUUUUUUUUAAAAAAAAGGGGCCACUGUUCUUUAAUUUUAAUUGCUUUUGGGGAAAGGAAAAAGAUGGCCUGCGCAUGGACAGUUGGUUCUGCGCAUGUUCCCCUUAAAUGGGUAAUUUGCGCGGCCAGUCCUUCCUAUUUUGCGUUACCUUUAAUUUGUCCCUAUUAUGUUUAUUUCAUUUUUCUCCAAAAGUUUGCACGAUGUUUUAGUUUGGUCCGCGCCUAACCAGUGCUUUUGGUGAUUUGGGUCAUUUUCAAUUUUGAUCCCCGAGCAUUUGUGCGCGUUUUAUUUCGGCCCACAAUUUUGUUUAUAAAUUAUCCCUUUGGUUUUGUUGUGCUUACAAUGAAGUUUUUUUCCUUAAGAAAUAAGAGCAUAUUAUUUUAGCAUAUAAUCUUGUAUUGUUUUGAUGAUUUCGUUGUUUUUUUUUAUGUGCAUAUUUUUUUUUCUUUUCUUUUUUCAAAUACUUUCGUAUAUUAUCAUUAUCUCUUUUAUAUAUAUAUAUAUAUAUUAUAUUAGGUUUAUUAAUUUCAUAUAUUAUUUACUUAAAUGUUGUACAUAUAUCACUUUGCAUAUUGCUAAAUCUUUUUGAAACUUCAUUUAUGUAUUAUAUAUAUAUUUGAUGCAUCUCAAAUUUCCAUGUAAAUUAUUUUAUGGCAUUUAUUUUAAAAUUCAUUCGUAUGAUAUUAUUUAAUUUAUUACUUAUUUAUAUUUUUCUAUUUAUUUUAAAAGUUUUAUAUUCAUUAUUUGUUUUAAAGUCUUUGUAUUACUUUUAUACUAGUGUUCUUUUAAAAUUUCCUUUCUUCCCUAUUGUUCAUUUUAUUUUAAAAAUUGAUAUUUUAUUUGAGUAAUUUGCUUAGAACUUCUUUUAAGUUGGCUUUUAAUUCAUUAGCUUAUAAUUAUUAACAUUUGUAUUUAUAUAUUUGUUCCUUCAUGUUUUUGUAUCAUUCUUGAUUAUUCAUGUAAUGUUAUUGUCCCAAAUUUUUAUUUCUGGCUCAAUACUAAGCUUGCAUGCUCUUUAUUGCAUCAUGUUUUUUUAAUUCCAACUUCUUUCUCAACGUCAAUUGUUUUUAUCUCUAAAUAAUCAAACAAGUAUAUUGACUCAUAUUUUUGCAAUUGUAUUUGAAACUUCACAAAUCAAGGCAAUGUUUCGUGUUUGGAAAUUCGGGAAAUAGUUGUGUCCUAACUCACUAGAUAUGACAUUUUGUUACCUCGAAAUAAGAUUUUUCGCAAGUAAAGGCAAUAUUAGAUGUUUGGCAAUUCGGAAAAUCGUGCCCUAUCGUGCUGGGUUACAAUUUACUAUUUGUUCGAAACAAUCGAAUAUUCCUUCGGUGUUCCACUCAUGUCUUUUAAAAAAUUUCAUUAAAACGAAAGAGAUGUUCGAUAUUUAGCAAUUCAUGGAAUCGUGCCCUAACGUGUUGGGUUGCAAUUUCUCGUUUGCUCAAAAUAAUCGAAUGUCUUUUUAGAAUUUCAUUCAUGUUUUCUAAAAAAAAAAACUUAUAAAGGAAAUGUUCGGUAUUUAGCAGUUCGGGGAAUAGUACCCUAUCGUGCUGGGUUGCAAUUUCCUAUUUGCUCAAAAUAAUCGAAUAUCUCUCCGGAAUUUCACUCGUAUCUUCCAAGGUGAGGCAAUGGUCAAUGUUUAGAAAUUCGAGGAAUCGUGCCCUACUGUGCUGGGUAUCGAUUUUUUGUUAGACCAAAUAGUUGGGCAUCCUUUUGUUAUUUUCGAAUUACAAAUUUUCGAACGUCGAAACAAGAAGAUUUUUGGCAAUAGACUCGAGUUAUUCAAAUGUUAUUAACAAGAACCACAUUUCAAAAACAUUUUUAAUUUUAGACAAAAGGACAGUAUUUACUCAAUUUGGUACCAAUUUUGGGCGUAAUGAGGGUGCUAAUCCUUCCUCAUACGUAACCGACUCCCGAGCCUAUUUUCUCAUAUUUUCGUAGACCAAAAUCAUUGUUUUAAUAAACAAAAAUAUUUUAUUAAAACAACCCAAAUUUCUAGGUGAUCCGAUCACACCUAAACAAAAAAAGAUUGGUGGCGACUCUAUUUUCGCUUUCCAAAAAGUCGAUCCAUCAUUUUUAAAACGAAAUAAAAAAAUGGUUUCGACAUUUGCAAAACUUAGUGAGAAAUAUUCACUCUCUCUAACAGUUGCAACAAGUAAACCUAAUCUAUCACAUAUUUCUUGAUAAUUCUUCUCACUUUCAAAUCUUGAAGAACAAUACUUUCACCAUUAAGUUUACCCCUGUGAAUUCAACAAGUAAAAUUACAACACAACUUAUUGUAUUAACAAUUUGUGCUCUAAGAAAAGUUCCCUAACAUAAAUAAAAUAAGUGCUAAAAGUUCUUAGUACAAAAACCUAUACAAAUCUCCAUUAAAUAGAUCUAUGUUUGAAACUUACUAACGUAAAAGGUCUAUAACAAUUUCAUUUAAACAAUAAUAUAAUAACAUAUUUAGAAUAAUAGAGAAUAAACCAAAUAUGGACUCUUGGCAACUAAUCUCAUAGCGUGUCAAUCCAAUCUAAAUUUCUAUGUUACAAGAGAUUGUCUCGGGUGAUUUAAUUCGAUCUAAUGAUAUUUUAGCACAUUAAAUAUUUUUUACAGUUUAAAAAUAAUAAAGUAGAUUAUAUAUUUUUAUAAUAUUAUAUAUUUUGAUUUUUUAAUUCAUAUAAUAAUAAUUAUAUUAAGAAUGUUAAUAAAUUAUAUUUUUUAUUAAAUUAUAUUUAAUAAUAAUUAUGUUAAAAUAUGAUUAAAUUAUUUAUUAUUUUUAUUAAAUUGUUUUCAAUAAUAAUCUUAUUAAAAUUUAAUAACAAUAACAAUAAUCAUCUACCUAAAAAAAAUUCUGCUAAGGGUAUUCUAGUCAUUUUGGUUUUUUUCCUUAUGCUAUUAUAACAUUAUUAUAUUCAACCAAACACAAGAAUACUAUUACAGUUCUAUUCUAUUCCAUUCAAUCAAACAGUUGAAUUACUGAUUACAGCUUUAUUCUAUUACAACUCUAUUCAAUUACAACUCUAUUCAAUUACAGCCAUAUUCCAUUACAGUGAACCAAACGUAGCAUAAGGAUUUUUGGGGCGUUACAUGAAUAGUAUUAUACACCAUGAACAUGCAUGUCUUAUAAAAUAUUUAAGUUGUAAUGUUUUGUACUACUUUUAAGAGUCUGUUAUAAAUAACAAACGUUUGAUUCAAAUUUUUUUGACUUGGAAAAUAUAUUUAAAUAAUAAUAAUAAAUACAUCUAGGUUAGUUUUCGUCAAUUGUAAAAUUUUAUUAAGUAUGUAAGUAUCGUGACAUCUUAUAUUUGGAUCCGAUAAAUCAAGUCAAAUAUAAAAUAUUACAGAGUAAACUUAUCUCGCCUCAUCUCACUAUAUUUACAAAACUACCCCUAGUAUAUAUACAUAUUAAGUUACGUUAAAUCCAAGAUGAUCUCCUACUCGUGUCGUCUACCCAGCUCCCAUCUACUAGUACAUUCUUUCCCAGCGGUAAUUCUCUCCCUAACUAACUAUUGCUAAAAAAAUUUAUUUUGAAUCUCCUUUUUACACAUUAAAAUGGGGAUUAUAGUAUUUACUUAAUUUUUCGGUAAUAUAUUAGGAAUUACGAUAAUGGAAAAACUAAUCUUAUUGCUCCAAAAUUGGCCAAAGCAAAUAGUUGUUUGAUAAACUUUAGAAAGAUAUAUAUAUAAAAAUAGAUUUGGUGGAGAUCGGACCCUUUAUAAAAUAUUGUGCUCUUUCUUUAGGUAAAGAUCGGGACAUGAUAGUAUAGCUUGGAUUGCCUCACCUCCUUACAAAAUUAUAUGACAAUUUCAGUGUAUGACACUUGUUCCUAGGUGCAUUAAUGCAUAAUUUGAAAUGGAGUACAAGGUCAAUAAUCUUUGUUUAAGUAUAUCCAUCAGCAUAUCCUACUUUCUUUGGCAAACAAAAAAUAGUUGUUUUUUAGAAGUGGCACUCUAUCAACUAAGUCAAUAUGUGCAUCAUCAAGAAGAGCUGUUCAUUGACUUACUAAUCUCCAUAGCCUUGAUUUUGGUUACUUGUUAUUUACUUCUAUCUUUAAUUGUUUGCGCUAUUCUUCACACAAAUUUAGGCAUACUAAAUUCCGGGUGGAGAUCCAAAAAUACUUUAUUGGCUAUCACAUGCAUGAAUAAAUGUAAUUUAAUUUUACAAGGAGAAAAACGGCACCAUCACAAUAUGAUGCAAGGCUCAAGUCAACAGUAUUUUAUAUACCCAACUUUGGCCCCACAAAACUUUAUUUAUUUACUAGUUGGCAGUCUUAGCAAGAUUUGAGUGUCCAAAUUCCUAAAAAAUUUCAAGCUGUUUGGCCCUUUAAUCUUUAAAAAAUUCAUUUUAUUUUUUAUUUCAUUUUUCAUUUUUUUAACUCUUAAAUUUAUAUAUUUUUUUAAAUCACUUUAAAAUAAAUAAAAAAAUUAAUGUUUGUUAACUUUGUUAAUAUAGCAUACACGUGGAUUGCCAUGUCAACAUUUAAUUAAUUUUUUAAAUUCAAAAAAUUAUAAAAAAAUAUAUUUUUAAAAUUUAAAAAUAAUUAAAAUUAUUAAAAAGUAUAAACCUAUAAAAAAAUUUUAAAAUUUUUAAAUUAAAAAAAUUAACUAAAUACGGAUAUAUCAUUCAUGUGGCAGUGUACGUGUAUUGAAGGAUAAAAAAAUUAUUAUGCCAAAAUUGACAUCACAACAUUUUUAUAUACAUAUCAAAUUUUGGAUAACAUACCAGCUGGUUCUCAAGUCCGUUUAAAAUUUUCCUUUUUUAUGAUUUUUGUAAAUAAAAUUGAGAUUUUUUUGGUAUUUUCGCUCUUGUUGUUGAACUACAUGUAUUUUUUAAAAUAAAAUUUUAUUUUUUUAAUUUCUAGAAAUUUUUUAUUAUUAUCGUAUUUUUUCUGAUUUUUAUAUAUAUAUUUUGGAGAUUUUUCUAAAUUUGUUUGACAAUUUUUUUUGUAUUUUCGCUCUUUUUAUAUUUUAUUUAUUUUUUAAAAAUAAAAAUAAAAAUCUUUUUAAUUUAUGAGAAUUUUAUAUAUUUUUCUUAUUUAUAGAAAAAAGAUAUUUUUUUAGCUAUUUUUUUCUGAUUUUUUUAAUUUAGUCAAAAGAAAAUACAAACCCGGGGACAUGACAAACUAAUAAAAAAAUAUGCUAACUGAGUGCAAUUUUAGGAGUAAAUAAUAUAUUAACCCUAAAAAAGUGGUUUUAGGGAAAAGUUAAAAGUUCCAAAUAGCGAAUGUGCAUAUCGUUGAGUGAAGGAUUAGCGGGUAAUUGUGGGCAUGGAGUUUUAAUGAAAGUAGCUGAGGAGCGGUUGAACGCAAGGCAAUGUUAGAUUUAAGUAAGGUGUGGAUCGCUGUUUCUAAUAAUGGGAAACAUUGAAAUGAUAGUUGAAGACCUUUUUUGUGAAGCUUUGGCUGGUUCAGUUUGCAGUGUUGAAGAGUCACUACCCUCAUUCAUUCCUUUGACUAAGAAAUGGUAAUGUUCACUUGCAAAACCCAACAACAAAUGCCAUAUGCCACUCUCAUACACCCUUUUAACUCAAAUUUUUCUUGAAAUAAGUGAAUAUUUUAACCAGUAAAUAAGGGCGAAAUCAAAAAUUUGGAUCCGAACUUAAAUUGUUUUUUUAAUAGUUUAUAUAUUUAUAAUUUUUAAAAAAUUAAAUUAAAUUUUUAUUAUUUUUAGAGAGUUAGAAUAUGAUUUUAGCUUUACUAAUUUAAAUUUUUAAAAUUUCAAAAUCGAUAAUUUUCUAUUUUUAGAAGAUGCAAAUUAGUUGCCGUUAAAUUAUAAAUGGGCAACCUGAGUCAAGAAAAACCUCUAUGGGUUAAAUUUUUUUUAUUCUAUUAAAAAUAUUUUUAUUAAAUAAAUAAUAAUUUUUUGAACCAUAAUAGAUGGUAAAUUAAAUUACUUUAUGUUUAUUGGAGUACAAAUUUUACUUUACAUUUAAAGUAUUAUGUUUUCAUUAUUAAUAAAAAAGUAAAAAGAAAAAAUAUAUAUUAUUUUUGUUUUAAAAAGCAAAUUUUAAUUAUUUAUGCAAUAAAAUUUUAUAAACAAUAAAUCUAAUAUAUUACAAUGCAUAAAUCUCAAAACUAUACAUGGACUUUAGUUUAAUGUGUAAUUUUAUAUACGAAAUUUUGAUUUGAUUCAAUUCUCACGAAUAAUUAACACAAUUAAUUGAUAUAGCAUCAUUUUAUGAUUAUAUAUUGCAUAUAUAUAUAAUUAUAUUUAUCCAAUAUAGAAAUAAAUUUGUGUAGUUAUUUUUUAAAAUGUUUGUAAUUGAAUCAAAAUCAAAGUUUUAUGUGUAUAAAUGUACCGAACCGAAAUUCAUGUAUCAAAUUGCACAUUGAAUUAAAGUUCAUGUAUAAUUUUAAAAUUUAUCCCUAUAAUAUAAUUAUAUUAAUUAAUUAUUAUUUUAAAUAAUAUUGUCUUUCAUUAAUUAUUAUGAAAUAACUGUGUUAUACAUUAUAAGCAAUGAAAAUGCUUUAAUUAUAUUUAAAUUUUUAUUAUAAUGAUUGAAUUAUUAAACAAGUUAAUAUAUUUUAAUUAUAUCCAACAUUUCAAUUUGCCAAUAUUAUUUUAUACUAAUUAAAAAUAUUUUCUUUAUAUUCCCAAAUUUAAAUAUUUUUAUUUACUCUAAUUUGGGGAGGAAAACUAGUAAAAGGAAAGUAAAACAAAAUUUUAAGGUGUAGAAUGUCUUUUUAGUCUUUCAUUAAUAAUUGGGUAAAUUACAUUGCUGGUCACUAAACUAUGCAAAAAUAUCUUUUUUGGUCACUCAAUUUUUAAAACUUUCAAAAUGGUCACACGACUAAUCAAAUUUAUUCUUUUUAGUCUAUCUCCUAUUAAUGACAUUAACUAUUUGAUAGGAGGGUGUGGUGACAGUCCAAAAUUGAGUGUAAUAAUAAAUUUAGUCCUUAAUUUUUAUUAAAUAUUAUGUUAAUUUAUUCACAAUUUAAAAAAAGGAUAGGACACGAGAUACCCAAACAUGAAGUAAUUCAUUGAAUGACUUUUACAACAGGCUGAACCGGCGAUAAUUGCAGCCACCGGAACUGGUACUAUAUCGGCUAACUUUCGAACCUUAAUGUUUCACAGGGUCCACGCUUUCAGUUCCGCCUUCAAAGUCUGCUCCUCACCUUCUCGUCAUCGCCACCAUCACCUGUAUGAAGAAGGGUUUGCUCGUAGGGCUUUAGAUUAAUGUAUUAUUUUAAAUAAAAUACAAUGUAAUUUAUACAUUUUUUAAAAUUUAUUUUAUUUUUGAAAAUCUGUUAUUUUUAUUUUUAUUUUUUUAAGAAUUAAGAGCAAUUUGAGAAAAUUUGUAAUGUUGAGAGUAACUUUUUUAAAACUAUGACUAAAUUGGUAUAAUAUGUAAAAAUUAAGGAAUAAAUUUAUUAUUAUACCAUUGAAUUAUCAUAUCACCAAUAAAACAUGGAUAAAAAAGAAUAAAUUUGAUUAGUUUAGUGAUCAUUUUGAAAGUUUUAAAAUUUUGAUGACAAAAAAAGAAAAAUCUGAGCAUAAUUGGUGACCUAUAGUAUAAUUUACCAUAAAUUUAUGAAAAGUUAUAAUUAUACAAAUUAUAAUCCUUUCCUAUAAAUUAUUUAUCUAAACAAAAAUAUUAAAUUAGAGUGGAUUUGAAUGGAUGAUACAUUUACCUAUGGUUAGUGUAAAAACAAUGAUGAUAGUGAGAUUAAAUACUAUAGCACAAGAGAGAAAGUAAACUAAAUGCAGCACAAUACAUCUUACCAUCCAUCAAAACUCAGCCUUACUCUUUUAUUCAAACUAGAUUUGUUUAUUAGUCAAAUCACCUGCUUGAAAAAUAAAAAUGUUAAGACAAAAACAUAAUAUCUAAAAAAAUGAACUUGGGUAUAAUUUAAGGCCAUAUUUGGCCUAACCCAACCCAACACAAAUAUAUUAUAUUAUAAAUAUAAAAUAAUAAUUAUAUAUUUAUAUUCAAUCAUUAAUCCAAUAAUAAUUAAAUCAUUAUUCAAAGCCCAAAAAAAAACUUACCCAAUAAAAUAAUCCAACUCAAAUAUAACUUUUUAAAAUAUAUAUUUAAUGCAAUAAAAUAUUUAUUAUAUUUAUAAUAAUAUUUUUUUAAUAUAAAUGCUUUUCUUAAUGUAUUUUUAAUGUAUUGAAAAACUUAUAUUUUAUUAUUUUUAGUGCAUUUAGUAUAUUAUUUUUUCAAAAAAAUAUUUUCAAAUAAAUUAAUCUAAAAAGAAUCAAAUAUGAACAAACCAAGUCGGAUCCAUAUCUACCUUCUUAUUUUUUAAAAUUAAGCAAAACUUGAAAAAAAUUUUAAACCUAUUUUUCAAGUCAGGCCAAACUCUCUUAGAUGGACCCAACUUAAAUCUGGCCUAAAUGUACCCAACUUAAAUCUGACCUAAAUCUAACCCAACCCAUUUGAUAUAGUCACUUACUUUUCUUUAGCUUUCCACUCUUUUAAUCCAAUAGUGUUAAGAGUAACUCGAAUCAGAUGACCAAAAAUACAACAUUUAAAAAAUGCGAAGUUCAUAACACUGCAGGAAAAGAAACAGCCUCCAGAUAAAAGAGAAAAUGAAAAUGCAAAAGCCUUGUAAACUCGGUAUCACAGUUCUUGACUAGCAUGUAAGCUUCAAAGCAUACUUAUCAAUCACUUUCAAAAGUUGAAUAAAUGCUCCUACAGAAUCUGCCCGCACAUGUUUGCCAGGUCGGCUUGCAGAUUCACAAAAAUAGCUAAGAAAGAAAAAUACAGUGAACUAAUUUUGAGCUUCAAACGUGGUCCUUUUGAGGCGAUAACAUCCCCUGGAUUGUUGUCCUCCUUAAUCACCAAUAAGCUCUAGCAAUCAACACUGAAAACCGCAAGCAUAAGACACAACUGACACAGCAAGCAGACAAUCAAAGACAAAGCAUCCACACAAUAUAGCAAGUACAACAACGAAGAGUUGCUCCACAAAACAAAUGAUUGCUUCAAUACAUAAGCAACUAAUAAAGUUCUUGAAAUUUGAAAUUUGCAUGCCAUACAACAUACCACCAAAUCAAAAAGAUAUUUCCAAUAUAACCCCAGAUGAACUAUAUAGAUUUGAAGGAUUUCAAAUUGAACAAAAUGUUGUAGGGAAGUGGCUAAACAAUUCUAACCUCUUAAAAUUUUAUGAGCAAUGGUAAAAUAGAAAAGAAAAUUGAACAUCAUUAAGGGAGGAUAAGAUAACAUGAAAAGCCAAGUUUCAUAUGAUUACAAACGCUUUGUAUAUUAAAAAAAAAGAAAGAAAAUCAAGUUAUAAAUACUAGUAUAUGGUACUGUGGUUAACUCAAUAAUAUUUGGAUCCAUACAACAUGCCAAGUACUAACAUAAGAAUAAGGGAAAUUAACUUGCAUGGAAGUCUUUGAGAUAAUAGUCUAGUGGAACACCACAAAAUGCAGAGGAAUAUAUUAAGAAAAAUCCCAAGGAACCAUUACCAUUAAGUUUGUGUCUCAGUCUCUUUUGCCUCAACAUCAUUUGUAGUGCCAUUCGGCUCCCCAGCUUCAGUAUCCUCCGUCGGUGGCUGAACCUGCUCCUCUUCUGGCAAUGGUUCUUCCACGUAAUCAUUCUCAAAAGCAUCAGCUGGGACCUCAUAAAUCCUAACUUGAGGCUUUGAUGGAUCCUUCACAAGCACAUAUUUCCCCUCAUUCAACUUCAUACACAAAUCCACAAUGGACUUCACAAUCCCCCACAUAUUAGCAGUAUUCAGAUUAAUUUGUGCAGCAAAAUCCCUUGGCUUAUAACCAACAACACCCAAUAUCACAUGGUUAAAAUGAUCCCUAGGAUGAACCCUCGAAACAUAACCCAAUUUCAUCAAAUCGGCACUAGCUAAAAUUGAUUGAGCAGUCCAUUUAGCCAACUUAUUCGCAUUGUUCUUCAACUCGGUAGCCAAGACUGCCCCCCUUUGUGUUUCCAACUUCUGCCUCCAAUCAACACCAGAAUACUUGGGAUCAAACUCAUUAAGCGCAUUCAAAGUGAGGAAAGACUUUUGAUUAUUAACCUCAACAACACUCUGAACCUCACACCGUGCAAUCAAAUACAUAUCAUUAUCAAGUUUCCACCUCCUAUACCGAUAUGCCACAGAAGCCACCUCAUCACCUUCAUUGGCAAAUGGGUUCAGCUCAUCAAAACUAACCUUAUUCCCAUCCCUAACCAAAACCUGCUGUGAAAAAUUCUGAUUUAUGUAAGCUGCUUCAACACUCAAUGAAUAAGCAGAGUUAAUAUCAUCUUUAGCUUCAGGCAAUGGCUCCUGAGAGGUCUCGUGGACCGAUAGCAAAUCUAACUGUGACCCAUCUCUUUUGUCGAAAAAUAGUUUAUUCCCAACACGUUGAAUCACAAUGUCCCAAGAAUAAACUGACCUGGGUGCACACAUUAACGUUGCCAGAAUCGUAUCAGUGGCGAAAACAGUUGCUUUGUCCUCAUUUGCCAAUCUUCGGAUCACCGGGUCGUCAGUCGUGGUGACUUUAAAGAAGUUUCUGUUCUUGAACCUCUCGAGUCUCCGUUCGUUCUUCGGGGUAAUUCGAUCAAAGGACCGAUCGUAAUACUCUAAAGCACCGCAGAGAAGUAAAUCUUCAGGUUCUGGAACGGAAAAGGAUAAUUUGGAGAAUGUUGAGAAAGGGAUUUGAUCCAGCAUGUUCCACUCUGGUUGGAUAUCGACGGAGGAUUUGAAAAUCGCAGCUUCACGACGUUGCUGGUUCUGGUUCGAUCGGUUGAGAUUAUAAAGACGGUCACGUCGGGCUCGUUCUUUUUCAGCUUCUCUUUUACGGGCCUCAACUUCUUCAUCUCGCCGUUGAGGAAGUUGAGGUCGGUGUUGGUUGAAGCGCCACUUGGGGCCAAAUUUAGGUCGAGUAGGCGGCUUUGCGUCGACUAAACGAAAGGAAGAAUCGUCUUCGGGGUUUGCAAGAGGGAAAGUAUCGAGGUCGAGCGAGAAAUCGAAGGGGGACUCUGAGGAGGCUGCGCCAGGCUUCCCUGAAGAAGGGCGGUUAGAUGGAUUGGCAUUUGCAAAAGAUCGGGUGAAGUCGGCGAUUCGGCCGAGUUUUUCAGAGCGGGAGAAGGGAGCGAAAGGAACGUGAAGAGGGAGAGUGGUGGUGGUGGACGGCGCGGUGGCGGUGGUGGAGUCGGGCGGACCCCAGCCGUCAGGAUUAAACGGAACGGCGCCUACUUCGAAAACUCCUACCAUUGUCGACGGAUCUCUAGAUUUUUCUUGCAGUGGAGCCGAAGUGUAUAAAGAGUAAAACAGUGUAAGAAGAUAAAAGAAAACCCUAGACCGGCGGAGGGGAUUGUCUUAAAUGACAGGUUUAUCAUAGGAAUUUGGGCCCUUUGUUUAGAUUUAUAUGAGAACUCGGAUCUCUAAUUGGGCCUCCACUAUCUGAGUGCUACUCAUAUAAAUAUAUUUUAAGUGGGAAAGAAUCUGCUUGCACUAAUGCAAAACUUAAAAGCGGUUUUAUAUUUAAUUUUUAAGUAACAUUUUACUAUUAAAAUUUAAAUAUUAAUUACUUAGAUUAAGAGCUUAGCUUUGUAAGUGGCUUAUAUUAAUAAUUUUUUUAAUGUUAUGGCAAUAGUUUUGUCAAUGCAACAUUUAGACAAUAGUUGAACAUGGUUCGCAAAGGUGUGUCGAGAAGCACUAAACAAGGUUGAGACGAUAGUUGGAUGUGGUUCACACUAGUACACGAAAAUCUAUUAAAGAAGAUGUAAAAAGUUAGGUAGGGUUUCAACGGUGUGUUAAGUGCUUGGAGUUUUCUUAAAAACGAAGAGGGUUAUACAGAGGAGCUUGAUAUGGCUUUCACUAAAUAGGUAUCGUAUAAUGUAAGACCAUAUAGUGCUCUACUAGGAUGUGAUUCGUUAUACAACUUGGCCCUACUCUUAUAGAAUCAACAAUUGUAACAUCUCUUACACGAGUCAAAUCAAUAACUCGAGCAAAAGAUGUCACAUUUCAAUAUUAAUAUAUUACUUAAGUUCCAUUAUUAUCUUUAAAAUACCUCAAUACAUCCUUCAAAACAUCAUGUAACUCAUCCAUGUUCAAUCACUAAUCAUUAACCAUACAAUCUUCAAGACAUUCCCACUUCAACAGAACUUGUUUUCAAGGCAUUUUACUAUCUAUUUAACACCUUCCUUAUAUAAGUACAUGCCACAUUAUUGUCCAUAAAUUGAAAUUCAUACUUUUCCAUCUUACCGUGUUGAUGCAAUGUGAUUCGGUAAGCCACUCACGAACACUUUCCACACGAUCACUUUCAGUACACUCUUUUUAGCUAGAUUUCACUCCCUUUGCUACAUUUCUAUUCCUUUCACACUUUUAUCACUUUCUUUCCUUUGUCUACAGUACUUUCAUCACUUCUUAUCUUUGGUUUCUAUAUAAACUGUAGCAUCCCUAUUUUGGCGGGUCUUAAGUUUUGGCGCAUAGACUGAGAGUAAUAUAUGUGGCGUAGUUCUAUCCCCUCAAUAGUUUCUUUUAGGCGUAUAGAAUGGGUGCAUAAAAAAAUUUGAUAUAUUAGGUAAAUAAUGACCUUAAAAUGUGUUGAGUUGUAAAGAGAAAGAGCUCGAUAAAAGUAUUGAAGAAAUUGCAAGUUGGGUUAACACCAAAGAUAUUGUACGCCAAGUUUGGUUAAAAUUAUUGUGCUAGUUACGUUGUAAACAUUCUAGUUAGGGAUCAAUUGAGUAGAUGAGUUUGGUAUAAAUAAAUUUAUUGGAUGAUCAUUUAUGUUCUUCUCAAAGGUCGUAGACUAAAAUAAGGACAAUUCUGAAAGAUUGUGACACAUGUCAAGUUCUAUAACAAGGAUAUAGGUUGUAUAUAUAUGUAUUCAUACUUGAAAAAAAAAGGGAGUUUUCUUCUUCCUUAUUUUAAAGUGUUAUUAUCUUAUUCUUAAGGAACCAAAAACAUUUCUUUCUUCUUUAGGCUAGAAGUUAUAAUUCUAUAUUUUUAUUAGUAGAUACUCCAUGUCAAGGUAAGUAUUAUGACUCUGCAUGUUAAGUUAUGAAAGUUUAAGUCUAUAUGGGUACAUCAACAGUAAGAUGAAGAAAUAAAGCUUUGCAUGGGGGUUAUCUGUACUCGAGAUGAUGGUAAAUAGUAUGCGAAUGAGUUUUAAUGGUGUUCAUAUAUUUUGUAAGCAGUGGUUGCUGUAGUUUCAUGGUGGAAGUUUGAAUCUGGAGUUCAAGCUACUGUACGUGGGCAUAAGGUGAGUUUUAUGUUGACUUCUAUAUGUAUACUGAUCCUAUUGUGAGUCAUCUAUAGGAAAUUGAUUGAACAAUGGAUUCGAAGUCAUGAAAAGUAUAUUAUAUGAUAAUUGGUGUAUGAGUAUUGAAACAUUGAAGUUUGGAUGAGUAUGUAUAUGUUUGAAAUGUAUGCUAUGAAAUGUGUGUAUUUUGAUUGAGUGUAUAUUAGUUAAGUAAAAGGUUGAAUUUAGAUUGUGUCAAUACAUGAAGAGUCUAUCAAGAGAGUCUGGUUCUGUUCAUCGUGGUGGUUUCUAAUGGAGUUUGUUGGGACUAAAAACACGAAUUUUGAUAUGAACUCUGAAGGAAAAGUCCAUGGUCAUGGCACCCUUUGAAAAAGAACUAGGGAAUGGUGAUUGCCCAAUGGGGUUCUCUGUGUGUCCCAGGACAAUGAUGGGUAAACCUCACGUAAUGUAAGUUUAGGAAAAUCCAUAUCAUAAACACGACAACAAAGAAUAACCUUUGUGGCGAACUCUAAAUGGGUCGCUUUAGUGGCGUACUUUAUCUGAUUGCAUGUAUGGUGUGCUUUGCUAAGUCUAUGUGGCAUGAACUAUCAAGAAUAUUUGGUAAGCUAUGAAUCUGAAUGUCUGUCUCUUUUGUAAUAAGUAUGAUCAAGAUAAGGUAUUGAUAUGCUCUGGAAUAAGAGUUGAAUAAAGUCAUAAGGGUUCCGUGGAAAAAAUGUAUAUCUAUAUGUUAAGAAGGGCAUCUAUCAUAAUGAACUAUAAAUUUGAAAAGUGAGGGAUAUUGCAUCUUUUUCUAAAUUUAUUCUGAAUCUGAGUUAAUGCUAUUUUGAAUUAUGAGAUUCUGAUAUAGCAUGAUAUGGAGUUCAUAUGGAUGUUAUACAUGGUGAAUUAUCAGUAUGAAUAUAUGUGCAGAUCUGGAUCUGGAUCAGGAUAUGUCUGAGUGUGAACCAAUGGUAUGAAACUCUGCGUAAGUAUCCACCAUAUAUAUGUAUCCACCCAAGAUAAUGUCAGUGAGCAGUUGUUUGAAAUAAGAGUAUGGGUUAAGGUGUGGAUUGUUGGAAGUAGUUUCUAAGGGUAUGUUCUGUUAGAUAAGUAUUAUGAGACAAGAGAUUUAUGAAAUGAUUAGAAUGAUUCCUCAGUUAACAAGAUAUGGAAGAUUAAGUAUGAUAAGGAUAUGAUAACUGGUAUAUAAAAUAAUGAUAACAUUGUGAUGGUAUCAACAGAAAUAAAUGGUGCAGAAUAUGGUCGACUCAUAGGAAUUCAUACAAAAUUGCAAUGUAUCCAUAAAUGUAUGGUUAUAGUAGGAUUCACUAAGAACACUUAUACUUACAAGGUUUGUUGUUAUUUUCAGGUUUGUCGUUGAAAAGGCUUCGCAUGGAGGGACAAAGUGAUGACUAUGCUAAGAUGGUGGCGGAGUGGGCUAUUAUGCAUAUAGUGGAUUUAUGGUACAAUCUUGAAUAUGCCUUUUGAGUCUACCUUAAAACUAAUUUCUAACUUGUAAAGGCAUGUAUCAAAUAUGAUGUAAUAAGUUAUUUAUCAUAUAUUUUAUUUUAAAUUAACAAAUGUUAAGCUUUUCUUUUGGAGCUACAAAUAACAGUUUUAAAAUAAAUGAGACAUUGCAAACUAUUUUUGUUAAGUCAUUUGUAUUGUUUAGUAACACUUGAGAUCCGGACCCAAUGAAUUGAGUCGGGUUUUGAGCGUUACAGAAAUUUCUAUGGUUUGGGAUUGAAAAGUUAAAUUUUAUUAAAGAAUUGAAUUGUAAGAAAACCAAAAUUUUCUCUCUUCCUCCAUGCUAUGGACAUGUGAUGCAUGGAUGAAUGAAGAAAAUUAUUCAUUAUUCUCUUUUUAUAAUCAUAAAAUAAUAUAAAAUAUCUUAUAAUAAUAAUUUCAAUCCAAUGGCUAAUUUUUCAUCUCACUUUCCAUCAAAAUCCAAUGGCUCAAGAUGUGCCAACAAUUCAUGAUUAAUAAUUAUAAUAAAUAUAUUUAUCUUUGAUCCAAUGGCCCUUAUUAAAUCAUUCAUCAUAAAGCAAAUCCAAUGGCUCAAAUUCAAUACACUGUGUCUAAGAGCAUUUUGGUAAUUUUACCAAAAUUAUCUCACUUGCAAAAUAAUCAUUUUGCCUUUGAAAAUUUUUAAUAUAUACAAUUGAGCCAUUCCAACUUUUGUAUAAUUGUAACUUUAGUCUUUCAAAUUUUCUAUAUUUUAAUUUAACCCUUCAACUUUUAAAUAUUUAUGAUUUAACCCCUUUAGUUUUCAUUUUUUAAAAUUUAAUCCAUACCUCAAAUUAAUAUCUAACAACAUAUUACUUAUUUCAACUUCCUCUAGUAUCGAAUACCCUUGUUUACUAUUACUGAUAUAUCACAUUUCAUUUAAUUGGGAAAUUCCGUUAUGCAUAUUCCCAAUAUAACUCUUCACUUAUAUAGCACAUUGGUUUUACAUGAUUUAACUUUAAGAAAUUAUUUUUUAUACAAGUUUAAGUUAUAAAAAUUAUAUUAUAAGCAUGAACACAUAUAUGUGUUUGGGAUGAUUAUGUCAAAAAAUUUCUAAAAUAAUACUAUAAAUCUUUAAAAAAAAUUAUAUUGUAAAAAGUAAUUUAUGUGUAUCUUAAUUUUAUAAAAUUAUAAGAAAAAUUAUAUUAUGUAAAUUCUAAAUUUUUUUGAAGUUGUGGCUUAAAGGUAUAAUAUAAAAAAAAUUAUAAAAGCUGAAAGUGUUAUAAUAUACUUAUAUAUAAAAAAUUAUGGUAAAAGAAUAUGGAUAUAACUUAUUUCAUUACAUGCUAUAUGAUAUAAAAAAGUGUACUUGCAAACUCUUUAAUUUAAAACAUUUAAAGCUUUGAAAUGUGGUUUAGAGGAUAUUUGUUGUUCUAAAAAAGAUUUCCUAUAUUAACAAUAUCACCUCAAUAUAGCAUGAAAAAAAUGUUGGAUUGUAUUAGCAUGUUGCAAACAAAGUGUAUAUGGAAUAAGGAGAUCUUGAUAAUCUUAAUGACAUAUACAAAGCUUCAGAUUUAGAUGAUGAUGGGCUCGAUUAAGGACCAAGAAAUGAUGAUAAUGAGUAAUGGACAUGUAUUAAAUGUUAAAGAGGGAAUAGCACAAUAAUAUGGAGUGCUAGAGAAAUUAGAACAAAUUGCAUAUAAUAUUUAUUUUUCUUGUUAUUUUUAUUACUUGUCGUAUUAUCUACUAUUUUCUUGGACUAAUAUAUUACAUAUGAUGAUUUGAUUUUAAUUUUUGCUACUCGUUUAGAAAUUAUUUUAUCAUAUUGAUAAUUUUUUAUAGUGAUUAAUAUUUUUUAAAAUACAAAUUAUAUAACUGUGCAAUUACAACUUGUACUAUUGAACACGGCAUAUGAGAUUACGAUGUAAUUACACUCUAUCAACCAAAUAUACUUAGGGUAUUACAAUUCUUUGUAAAUUACUACCCUAGUAAUUACACUUUCAUCCAAUUAUUAUAUGUUAUCCAAACAUACCCUAAGGGUGCUAAUAAUUUGGAUUAACGAACAAGAUUAUAAUAAUAGAGGGGCCAAACUAGAUCAAACAAAAGUAUAUAGAUUAAACCGUAAAUGUAAGCAUAGUAGAAUGACCAAUACCAUAAUAUGACCUAAGAUAAUCUAUACCUAACGCUAAUCUUUCGUUUUACAUAGUGCUUAAAUGUAUAAUAAAAGUUAAUUAUUCAAUUUAUCUUUUAUUGAUUUAUAUAUUACAUAUUUGAAUAUUAGAUCUAUUAUUCGAUAUUAAUUUAAAAUAUUUAUUUGAUAUAUUGGCCGUGGAAAGUUUUAACUCCACAAGUAAGUUUGGGAUUUUGUUAUAUAUCUUUAAAUUGUAUUUAAAAAAUUAAAAUAAGAACGUGGUAAAAUCUCAACCCUACUUGUGGAAUAAAAACUUUCUAUUAUUGGUGUACUAAAUAAUUAUCCAUUAAUUUAUGGAGUAAAAAAAAUAUUCAUUACUUAAAUUCACUUUAAAUUUAACAUAAAAGUAUGAGAAUUAAAUUUCAAAUAUAAAAAAUUAUAAUUAAAAAAAUAAUUAAUCCUGGCUUGUAGUGUGAGUGCCAAAAUCACUAGUACAUCUAAAUUCAACUAUCACUUUGUUAAGAUAAUAUUUUUUUGAUGAAUUAUAAAAGGAGAAUAAAACUUUAACAACAAAACAACUAACGUGAUUUAAACUCAAACCAUACUUAAAAUAUUGAACACCCUAAUUAUGAUGUCAAUACAUGGGUUUUGCUAGGGGUGAGUAAAACUCGAUUCGACUCGAAAAAAUCGAAAAAAAAUUCGAAUUUCGAGUUAAACGAAUCGAGUUAUUCGAGUCAACUCGAAUUUUUUUUUCGAAUUUCGAGUUCGAAUCGAGUUGAGUUUUCGAAUUCGAAUAACUCGAAUAAUUCGAAUAUCAAACUAUAAUAUUUUACAUUUUUACCCCAAACUCCCAAACCUUUUUACUUUUCCCUUAAAACUUUUACUCCUUCCCACUUUCCCUUCAAAACUUUUACUCCCCUUCAAUCCCAACCCCCAAUCUACCCAAAAUCCAUUUCCCACUAAAAUUUUACUCUUCCAUUUACUUUUUCUCAAAAUUUUAUUCCCAAAAACACCCAAAACUUUUUAUUUUCCCCCAUAAUUUUUACUCCCUCCCAUUUUCCUCUUAAAAUUUUACUUCCUUUUAAUCUCACCUCCCAUCUACCCCAAAUCCACCCCCAAUUUUUUUUUAAUAUUUUCCCUCCAAAAUUUUACUCUUCCCUAUUUACUUUCCCUCAAAACUUUUAUCUCCCAAAACUUUUUAUUUGCCCCCUAAAUCUUUACUUCUCACCCUAUACUCUCAAAUAAAAAAUUAAAAUUAUCUAAAAAAAAUCACUAAAUAUAAAUAGUAAUAAUUUUAUUUAUAUCUACUAUUUAUAUUAUUAAAUUAAAUUUCACAUUUUAUAUUAUUUAUAUUAUUGGAUUGUUUAGUCAUAUUGAAUAUUUAUAUUAAAAUUAAAUUAUUAAUUAUGCUAUUAAAUAUUCAUGUUAAAAUUUUAUAUUGGUAUCAAUUUCACAUUUUAUCUUUAAAAUAAUUUUUAUUAAAAAAUCACAUUUUUACAUCUAAUAUAUUUUUUAAUUCGAAAAUACAUAGUGAUAAGAAUCUGAAGAUAAUUGAAGCAACUAAGCAAACAAAAAAGCUAACCCGUAUAUAAAAGAUUAAUAAAUAAAUUAUGAGGUGAUGAAAAUUAAUAAAAAUUUUAAUUAAGGUGGAUAAAUUUUAUUACGAUGGCUGACAGUGGUUACAAGGACCCAAAAUUAUUUUUUAAAAUUUAACUCGAACAAAUAUAUUCGAUUCGAUUCGAAUUCCAUCUCACUCGACUCGAUUCGAGAAAAUUUCAAAUAAAGUUAGGAUGAUAAAAUAAGAUUCGAAAACUCGAUUACCUCGAAAAUUUUCGAUUCGAUUCGAUUCGAUUCGAUUCGAUUAAACGCUCACCCCUAGGUUUGGCUGUACGGCAAAUUUGGUAAAGGUUAUAUUAAAAUAAAGUGUUUUUUAUACUUCUGCUUCCCUCUAUUUGCGUCUCAUCUAACCAGUUUACAAAUAUGAUGUUUUAAAUUAAUUGAAGCUAAAAAAAAAAAGGGCAAGCAAACGUCAUUCAAUACAUACAGAUGAAUCUAUUCUUUUUUCAUAUAUAGAAUAGAAUUUAUAUAAUUUUAACAAACAUACAUAUAUUGUAUUAUAAUAUUGUAUGAUCCAACUUCCUAAGAACUUCUCCAAAGACUUCCACAAUUGACUGACUUCCUUUUUGUUCAUAACAUAAUUGAAUUCUCAUUCCAUGUAAAUAUAUGUCCUGGUAUUAAUCUAAAAAGAACAAAAGGAAGUUUCACUGAAAAUUACAAACAUGCCUUUAUACUAAACUUACAUGCUUUUCUUAGGUGGGAAAACCUUUCCUUCCAAUCUUUCAUGAAUAUUAUUUUUUAAAAUUAAGUGAUUGUAUGAGUUAAAUCUCCUACAUUUUUUUUAACAACCAUCUUUCUAAUUGAUUAUAAAAAAGCUUUUCCCAAUAAUCUUAAGAGUCAAGUAUUGCGAUUCAUCGGUUCAAACAAGUUAAGGCUUUCUUUCUUUGCUUUAAAAUGCACUUUACAUACAAGACUAACGAAAAUAGAAACAAGUAAAAUAGGCUAAUAUUUAUUUGAAUUUAUAAAAAUUAAAAGAAAAAAAAACAUUAAUUCAUUAGAAAUUCAUAUGUAAAUAAAGGUGGCAUAUUUCAGGAAAAAUAGCUUCUGUGUUAUAUUCCAAAUAUUCAGUAACACCAUUUCCAACCUAAAACAACAAGAAGAUUUCAUAUGGGGAAUUGAAAACAUCAUUUAUAAUUUCAUAACAAUAGCUGUAGUUGCCAAGCAGCAUUAUUUCAUGAUAUACUAAUCACCAAGAGGCAUUGCUGACUCACAUUUCUAUAUCCCUACAACAGUUUAUAAGAUCAAUGAUUCAGAUUAUUUACCCCAUUAAUACAGUACCUUUCAGUACUUAUUGGAUGCAUCAGCAUCGUGGACAAACUUGUUCAAUCUUUGAGAUAUCCUAGCAGCUGUGGAUGGCUCCCCAGUCUACAACGUUUUCAACCCAAGAAUUUCAAAAACAAAACCCACAAACCAAUAUUCAUCAAAAAAAAGGGGGGGGGGUAAAUGAAUGUGAAGAAAGCACAGUAGCAAAGAGUACCUUGAGAUGAAUAGUGUGGAAAACAGUAUCAUCAUCGACAACAGAGAAAUUGGCAUUCACAACCUCGGCUCUUUCUUCAUGAACAAUACGGAUGGUUUCAUUGAAAAUGAACUGACUGUUGAAGCCAGUGUUCAAGGCGAUCGCCAAAGAAGAACCAAUUUCUUGAAUCUGGAUUUGAGGAGAUUUUGACCCAUAGCUGCGACUUGUAUUUCCCGUUUCCUCUAAUCCCCUUAAUCCGUCUUUCAUUUCCUUCAUCCUCUCCAAGUUUGCCUUUAAACGUUUUAUAUAAUUUGUAGCUUCAUCUAGUUGAUCAGGCAGUGAUAUUGCUUCCUGCAAAUUGAAUAAACCCCAUGCAUCAUGCAAUGCAAAUAAAGAGGGGAAGAAAAACCCCAGAUUUAGCAAAGAUCUGUGCACAUUUUGGAGCAAGUUCGUAUGUAAAAGAUUAAGAGAGAGAGAGAGAGGAGUAAACCCUAGAGCUGUGAUGUGGAACGAGGGAAUUGAGCUUAGAAUAGAGAGCUUUCAUUUGAAUUCUCCUGUUUCUCUCAAUGAAUUUCCUAUCCAUUUUUGAGGGAUUAGGGUUGUUGAUCUCCAUGGAUAUUAAAGUAUUUGCUUGAUAAGCAAUACUAAGCAGCUACCAACAAUACUGAAUUGAAAAGGACUACCUUUGUUUUAAAGGUCCCCUUACAUAUCUAUAUUACUCUCAUUCACUGGAUUAAUAACACGUGAAAUUUUAAGUAAAUUAAAAAUAUUUAAUUAUUUUUUAAUAUAAACAAUUAAUUAUUAAAUAUAUUUAUCUAUGUUAUUAUUUAAGCUUUUGAUUGAGUUUGUGUGAUGAGUCAAUUAGAUACUCAAAAAUAACUUAGAGUGUGUUUGAUAAACCAUUAAAAAUUUUCGAUAUUGGAAAUGAUUUUCAAUAUUUAAUAUUUUUAAUGUGUUUGAUAAUAAUUUUUUAUUUAAUAUAAAAUUUUUAACAAAAAAAUAUUGUUGAAUAAAAUAAGUAACUAGGUAGCUACUUAUCACUCAAUGUAGAAAAUAUUAAAUCAAUUUUAAUUUAUUAAAAAAUAAAUUAAAUUAUUUUCUAAAAAAUGAGAUAUUCAAAUUAUCAUAUUUAUUUUUUUUAUCUAAAAUAAUAUAAAAUAUUAUACUAAUAAGAUUAAAAUUAAAAAUUACUUUUAUCAAACAAUAUAAUUAUAUUCAAAAUUUAUUUUUACUAAUUUAUAGAAUAAUUUUUUAAUAAAAAUUCAGCACUUAAAAAAAUUAGCAAUAAAAAUUUCAUAUUUAAUUUUUUAACACUUAAAAUUUUAAUUUAUCAAACACAUCCUUAAUUAUAAGAUUACUAAAAAGUUUUUCUCAACAAAAUAAUAAUUAUGAUUUAAGGGUGUUUCUAUCCUUUUUAUAUUUUUCUUUUAUAAGAUAUUACUAUGGUGAGUUUUAAAACUAGAAGUAGAACACCAUAAUCCUCAUAAGUUCAACCAAACUUUAUUUUUAAUUUAUAUAAAUAUUUUAUAAAUAUAUUUUCUGGUGUCUCAUAAUUUAAUAUUAACAAACACAAUAUCUUAUAUAAAUAUGAUAAAAUUUUAUAUGCAAUACAAAUAUAUUUAAAAUAAUAAAUUUAAUCAUAUAUUAGUGUUUUUUGAUAAAUUUAAAAAGAUUAAUAUUUUUUGUACUAAUAAUAUAUAAUUUUAUGUAUUAUUAAUAAAAUUAAAUAAUUCGAAAUAAAGUUAAAUUUUAAAAUAUUUUGAUGUAAAACUAUUUUAGUUGAGAAGAAAGUUUGCUAAGUUUGAAGUAGUGGUGGAGUGACAUUGAUACUUGAAAAAGGUAUUUCCAUUUACAGAUGGCAAGUAUAUACACAAAAGUUUGUAUAUAUACAAAUAUAAUUUGACUAUUAGAUGGUAGUUAUAUUCCCAAAUGGAAUUUUACAAAAAUAAUAUUUUAAUUUAAGUAAACUUCUGAUAAUGUGCCUAAUUCUACUUUCCAAGAGAAUGAUGGUCCUUUUAAGGUAAAGUUCAUUAGAAAAUGACGAUCGCAUCACCAUCUGAUUUCAUAUUGACCAACAAUCUAUGACUUCAAAGUUUGGUAGUGGUACAAUGUUAUUUUGUUGGAAGAGAAGAUAUGUCCUUUGAAAUUUAAUUUAUAUAUUUUUAUUUUUAAAAUUUUAAAAUAUAAAUUUAACCCUAAACAUUAUUAAAAUUAUUUUAUUAAAUUUAUAUUUAUUACAAUGUUAUUUUUUAAAUAAUAUUAUUAAGUGAAUUUUUUUUAAAAUAUUAUACUGAUAAAUUUAACAAAAAUAUUUAAUAGUAUUAAUAAUUAGACUUAAAUUUUAAAAUCUAAAAAUUAAAAGAAUUAAACAACUUAAACCCUGUGAGUGAUAUAGAAUGUUACAAUACUGUUGCGUUAGUUGUUAAUGUUUUUAAUUCCAUUAAUUCUAUAUUUUUCGGUAAUUUAAUUUCUUGAGUUCAAAAUUGAGUGGAUAAUUAUUUAAAUUAAUUUCAAUAUUUUUUAACACAUUUGAAGAUAUCGAAAGACUUAUUUUUGUUUAAAAUUUGCUAUUUUGUUACUUGAUACGAAAAAUAAAUAGGCAUGUACAUAAUAAGAUAUAAAAGUAAAAUUGUGUAAUAUAUAUAUAUAAGUACGAGUUUUGAAAAUAUUUUUGAAUUGGUGAAAACACUUUUUAUUUUUUAUCCUAUUAUUAAAUUCAUAUUUAAAAAUAAAAAUUAAAGUAAAAUAGAAAUUGUGAUAAUUAUACAUUUAAAAAUAUUAAUUUAAUAAAAGUUUUCAAAAUUACACAUUUAAAAAUAAUUAUAAUUUAAUUUAUGAUUAUUAGUUAAAAAGAGUCAUGCUAAUUUUAAAAUAGAGUUAUUACUUGAAUAAAACUUUAAAGGUUAAUUUUGAAGAAUUUGCUAGGAAAAAAAUUUGAGAAAGUAGGUUGUUUUAUUUUAUUUUAAAUUUACUGAUUUACAUUGUUUUUGGAUAGAAAGGAAAACACGCCCUGUAGGACUAAUUUUCCAUUUGCUAAUUUUUUUUUCUUGCAGUUGGAAAUUAGAAGUUCGUGGAGUUGAGUGACUUACAAAUUUCAUCUACCAUGUGAGUAUGGAGCCAUCACCUAGGAAGCCAGAUCGUGUUGCAACUCCAGGUUCCAAUUGACGAUGGUUAUAUAGUUUAGGGUUGAAGUGUAACUAGGGCUUCAAGUUUACAAAAGUUAUACUGUCAAGGGAUAGAGCAUAAAUAGAGCCCUAGUUGACAAUGGUUAUGCGGUCACUACAACAUGAUUUUCCUCGUCAGAGGAGGAUGCUUUAUAAAACCCAAACAAAAGUACAAGAAAGAAAAAAAAUAGUGACGUUUUAGUAUAAUCAAGUAUUUUGUUUUAUCCAUGUCCACCAAAGGCGGUGACCCCGUUACUAUAACCUAUGAAAGAAUUGAGGUGUAACAUGUUUUAGUAAUAAGGUCACUACAUUUGGUGGGGAUGGACAACACGAAUUACUUGAUUAUACUUGAAGACUCUUGCAUUUUCCUUUCUUACACUUCUGUAUGAGUUUUAUAAAGCAUGCUCCUCUACUGAAGAGAAACUCAUUGUUGUGCCCGCAUAACCAUCAUCAACUAGGGCCCAAAUUAUGCUUCAUCCUUUGACAACAUAACCUUUGUAAACUUGAAGCCUUAGUUACAAUUCAACUCGAGAUUGUAUAAUCACUGCCAACUUGGACCUCAAGUUGCAAUGCGAUCUCGGCUUCUUAGGUGAUGAUUCCAUAUUCACACAGCAGGUGAAAUUUGUAGGUUACCGAACUCCACAACAUCACCAUGAACCCAAACACAAUUUAAAGUAUCACCGUGAACCCAGAUAGAAAUAAAUCUUUAAACUCAUAAAUUUUAACAUGCAAGAAAAAGAAAAAGAAAAUAAUUUAAAGAAGACUGAGAUAUGUUGGAGUAGGGGAUGAGAACGACCAUUUAUAUAAGGGAUGGGGCGGGGUAAAAGAGAAAUUUUUUAAUUUAUCCCAGGAAUCUCGGGUUGCAAUCUAUGAAAUUUAUCUCGGGAAUCUCGGGUUGCAAGGCUCAAAGGAAAAAGCAAUCAAGUUGGCUUGGGUGUUGAAAUGGCUAGAGAGAAGGACGUAUUUUCAACUGGCAUAGUAGUGAAAACACUUCUUGUAGGACGCAUUUUCCACUGAUAUGUCAAACAUGUGGCUUGCUGAAAAAUGCUACGGGGGAGUGUUUUCUCCCCCACAAAAUUAAACUUUAACUGUAUACCUUAAAAACUUGAAAUGCCCGAGGCAUGUGUUGUUGCUGGAAUUGUUUGAUGUACAUUGGGGUACGAGCUCUAUAAAAUAAACUCAAUGCAAUCCCUUGAGUUUCCAUACCGAGCUUUCAAGCAGAUUGUUUACAUAAGAAUACUUGGCAUUAGGAAUUAUCAAGGUUGUCGUGAAAAACUUGAAUUUCAUACUUACUUUAUUGUUGGCAUUAGGAAUAUUGACCAGGAGGUUGCAUGACUAUUGGGUCAUUGUGUAGAGCUAGAGCAAAUGUUGAUCCCCCCGCAACAUCUUCUCCUGACCUAAUAUUGUUGGGCCCUCUUCUGGUCUCCUACUACGAUGUUGCCUACUCCUUUCUGAAGUCGACAAUAGAUAUGACUUGCCGUUAUGCCUGAACCAAUUCAUGUAACCUGGAGAUGUCGCCAACUCUAGUGUGAGAAAUGGUUGACGCGUUGGCAAGUAAUCGUACCUAUGAUGCCAAAUCUCGCUAUACUUCUUGUGGAAUGUUGGCCAAUCUUCCUUGACUCUCCCUCACAAGUCGAUAUUAUGCAAGUCAUUGAGCUCUUAGGGUGGUAGUGGAAUAUGUUGCAUACACUUGAACUGCCGCAUCACUCUGUUAGAUCCGUAUAUUUCGACCAUUGCAAAAAUGAUUAAUGGAACUUUGACGUGCCAUAUGUUGCAAUUGACCAAAAAUUUGGAUGGGACGCAUUCUUGAAUCCUCAAAUCCACAUAUGACAUCCAUACAAACUGCAAUACAAAUUUAUAAAUUUUAGCACGUGUCUAAUAUUUAAUUACAAAUGUUGGAAUAAAAAAUCGAUAAAUUUGAAAUUCAUUAACUAACCUCCUCUUUGGUUUGUUGAUCUAACGCUAGCCAGAUAUCCUUGAGCUCGGUCGGUAUACCGUUGUGUCUCGCGAGAUUGUUCCACCUAUUCAAAUAAUUUGUUUUUUUUCAAAAUUACAACAAUGAAAAAUUAAAACGAUAAUGAUAUUAUCAAAAGAAUUUUACCAUAUUACGAGUGAAAAUUCAUAAGAGAGGUCCACUCGGGGGCAUAAAAAUGUUAGUCAAUACCAUGCCUCUGAUUGAAAAAGGAGCAUGCAAUUGCCGAUUUUAUCUUUUUUUGGUUUCGUUACUUGACACAUUUCUCGAUACAAUAUCGCCAGCACCGUUGAUCCUCAACUAAGUUGUCCCGCUUCUUUCAAGUCGGCUAGUAGUAGUAGCCACCUUAAAUGUACCAAAUAUUGAUAUUUAUAUGGAAUGAGAAAACCCCCGAUCAACCUCAAUAUGAAUGCGCACUUGAAUUGUUCUUUUUCAAUGUCAUUUCCGAAAGCCUCGAUAGUUUUGAAGUUGUCCUCCAACCAUCUUAUCUCGAUUCGGCUAUCCUUAAACUUGUUCGACACAUACCCUAGUAGUUACUCGCAUGUGCUCCAACUGGCACUAAGCACUGGCCCUGUAAUGACUUCUCCAUUGACUGAUAGACCGAGUUGUAAACUAAUGUCCUCGAGUGUAAUUAUACACUCACCACAGAGAAGAUGGAAUGUGUGUGUCUCUAGUCUCCAUCUUUCGACCAAAACACUGAUAAGUAGGGGAUCCAAUUUAGUUCCCUCGAGUAUGCGAGCCACUUUUACAAAUCUUGCAUCUCGCAAGUGUCCAUAAAUGACAUCCGAUGCACCUUCGCUUAAAUUGUUUAUGUACGUUUCCAAAAUCCAAUCUUUAGGUUAAGUAUUAAACAUAAAAAAUUAAUAAUGUUAACAACAUAAUAAUUAACUAUUUAAAAAUAAAUAAGUUAAUAAUAUUUUCUUACCAUUUGUAAUUGAACAUUGGAGAUAUGCUUGUCAUCCACAUGAAUAAGUUGAUUUGCUAUUUUAAAAAUUACAAGGAGUAAAAUAAAAUCGAAGAGAAUAAAAUUCAGAAAUUUUUUUUUUAAAAAAUAAUUACGAAUUGAGAAUUGAUGAUUGAGGAUUGAGGAUUGAGGAUUGAGGAUUAAGUAUUGAUUUAAAAAGAAUGAAGUUUGGAGGGGUUUAUAUAGGGAAAAAUUAUGGUUGUUGGGGCUCUUGUAGCCGUUGGAAUAGUUACAAUUGAAAGGAAAACACGUGUAACAACCCAUUUUCAAUGGUGUUGAAAACAAUGGCUUCAGGACCAGAAAUUUGAUGAGUAAGUCCGUAAUAAUUAGUAUUUAAAUUACAUGAGCCAACAACAAUUUUUUAUUGAAUUUUUUACUUAAUGAAUUUUAGCUAAUUAAAUUAAUGGCUAAGUAUAAGUGGUUAUUCCGAAAGUCAAGUGGUUUCACUAAAUGAGGUAUCAGAACCUCAUUAUGAAGGUUCGAUUUAGAAAUUUUUAUGUUUGAAUAGCUAACUAAUUAAAAAGGAUUAACUUGUAAAAGACGUAAAAUUUAAUCACUAUUGAAUUUUAAUGAUUUAAUGGUUUAUUUAGUAAUUGUAAAGGUUUUAUCUUGCAAAUAUACCAUGUUAUAAACUAGUGGACGAUUAUAGGUUUGUGAUUAGUUAAAAUGUAUGUUUAAAUAAAAGGUAAACUAAUAAUUAAUUAAUUAUAACUUAAGUAAAGUAAAAAUAAAAUUUUAUCAUCAUCUUCUUUUAACAUUAUACUCCAUCGAAAAUAGAAAAGAAAACACCAUUGAUGGAUUUUGAAGGUUCAGCCUGUAUUGCUUGUGAAUUCGUUUUGAAUUCAUUUCUCGUAAUUUUUAUAUUUUUGUAAUCGUUGUAGCUUAAUCUAGCUAACUAGGGGACUAUUUUGUAAAAUUUUUAAAGGUUUUGGAAUUUACCAUUGAUGAAUUCUAGGUAUUUUUUUUAUGUUAAAUGAUGAAUUUGUAAUCUUGGUUAUGGUUUAGAAAUAUUUUGUAAAGGAAUUUUUGUUAGUUUUUAGUUAAAAGACUAAGUUAAUAAAAUAUUACAAUUUACAUGGAAUUCUUAUUAAUUUUGAAAAAUUAUGGGCUGUACUAGUUUAGAAAGAAAUUCAGCUAGCAUAGGAAUCUAUGAAAUUUUAGUAAAUUUGGAAUUUUGGAUUUAGGGACUAAAUUAUAUAAAAUGUAUAAGUUUAGGAAAAAUUUGUAAAUAUAAAAAUUUAAGGGUAUAUGCAUAGAAAUAAGUUUGAUGGUAUAUUUGAAAUUCAUAUAUUGAAUAUAAUCAUUAUAUAAAUCAAGAAUUGAAUAGUAUAGAGAUUAAUCGGGGAAAAGAGAAAGUUGCGGAUUAGUUUUUCCGAGUGGAGCGAAAGCAUAACAUAGGUAAGUUUAUAGUGCAAUAAUAUGUAUAUGUGUGUUUUUUUAUGAUUAUAUAUUAAUUUCUAGUUAAUUGUAAUAAAUUUGAAAUUUCAUUAUUUAGUUAUAAAUUUUUAAUUGUUGUAAUUAAGUGCAAAUAGAAAAUGAAUAUUUGGUAGUGGUAAAUCUUGUGUUGCACAAUAUUGAAAUGAAUGUAACAGAUUUAUGGCAUGUGUACGGAAAUAAGAAGUUCCUUUGAAUGGUUGAUUACUGAUAUUAUGAAUUUAAGUAUAAUGCCCGUUUGAACGUAGUAAACGGCUAGGAUACGAUUGGCAUGCCAAUAGGAUUAGUAUGCGCGCUUGUGUGAGAUUGUACUUCGGUGCCUCAAUUUUCACUUAGGUGCCUCUGUAUUUGCACUACGGUGCCUCUGUUAGUAUUUCGAUGCUCUCUAGUGUGUUUUGGGGAAAUCUGAGUAUCCAAGUCAAUUUACGAAAGUUCAACAAGCCAUGAAAUUUUAUGUUUAAAUGUUAAAUUACUCUUUUAGUUGGAUUUAUGUAUAACGAUAUGUUUGUGUGUAUAUAUAUGGAAGCAUGGAUAACUUUGGUUUGAGCCAUUGUGUGUAUUGAAUUAUAUGAUUGAAUGUUUUGAUACUAAUGAUAUGUGAUUUUGGAAAUAGUUGUCAGGAUUAUAAUGAUUUAAGAUUAAUUAGUGAUCAUUUAUAAGUUAAGGUAAGUUAAAUUAAAUUUUAACUAUAGACUUACUAAGCUUCAUAAGCUUACUUGUUUUGUUUUGUUUUCUAUAGUUAACAUUUUGCAGAACGGGUCUGACGGAUCAACUUCAAUGCUUACACUAUCAUAACUCUUUUCGUUAGCUUUUUUAUUUGGGUCAUUUUGGUUGUGGCAUGUGCAAAAGGUUUGAUAUGGUUAAGUUUAACAUGUUAGUUGAAUUGUAAUUAAGCUUAUAUGGUUAUGAAUUGGUAAACCAUGUUUCAUUUUGAUGCUAUUUUGGUAUGGUAAUGUUGUGCCCUUGUUUAGACAUUGUUUUGAUUUGGUAUCUUUAAUGAUUUUGGAAAUGUGGUAUAUCCAAUUUGAUAGGUAAUUCAUGAUGUUGGACAUGUUUGCUUUGCUUUUCGUAUGAUUUUUGGUAUUUGGAAAUUGUAAACAUGGUUGUUAAUUGAAUAGUAUGUGUAUGAUGGAAAUCUUUUAAGUGAUAUGUCUAUUGUAUUUGUAUAACAAUUGUGGUGUCAAUGAGGACAUAUUGAUUUGACACAUAAAUUGUAUGAAUUUGGUAUGUUAUUUGUGUGUUUGAAUGUGUUUUAACCAUUUGAAUGUGUGUGGAAAUGGUUUGGUUUGAUACCCAAGUAAGUAAGGUGGAUUUGGCUUGUAUUAGGGGUCAUUUGGGGAGCACAUGGCCUGGGACACAGGCUGUCACACGGCGUGUGCCGCAUACGGCGUAUGCCGCACACGGCCACCCCACAUGGCCGUGUGUCUUUUAAACUUUUAGGUGCUGGAUGAACCACACAGUCUCAGAUAGUUACACAGCCUGGUGACACAGUCAUGUAACCUGACUUUGAAUGCACACACGGUCUAGCACACGACCUACGGCAUAGCUGUGUGACCCUAUUUCGAAUACCUACACAGGUGAACACAUGGGUUAGGACAUGGUUGUAACACCCCUAACUCGUAUCCGUCGUCGAAAUAGGGUUUCAAAUCAUUACCGAAACUUUUAGAAACAUUUACAGAUAAAUCAUGCAAGUUACUAUUCAAAUUCUAAAAUCAUUCAUAACGUUCCAUAAAUGGACCCUCGAGGUCCAAUACGAAGAUUAGAAUAAAGUUGAGACUUAAUCUGGAACUCUAAGAAUUUUUCAUGACAUUUUAAAAAUUUUUCCAAGGUGCAAGGCUCACACGCCCGUGUGGUCCAAGGGACACGCCUGUGUAACCCUAGGACACGCCCAUGCUACAGGCUGUGUUCGACCCCAUGUAACUUUCUAACUUGUGCAAACGGCCAUACCACACGCUCGUGUGCUAGGCCAUGUGGUUAAUUAAUUUAAUUCAAAAUUAGGUGUAAGUUUCACAUGGCCAAGACAUACGCUCGUGUUCUAGGCCGUGUAGCACACACGGCUGAGACACACACCCGUGUCUCUGCUUGUGUGCUCAAUUCUGAGCAUUCUGUUUCUCAAAAUUAACGUGCAGAAGACACACGGCCUAACCACAUGCCCAUGUUACCUGGCCGUGUGUCACACACGGUCUAGACACACGCCCAUGUGUCUGCCUGUAUGGACAAAAUGAAGCCAUUUCUAGCUUUAUUUCUCACCCAAAAUUUCACCCAAGACCUACACUUGAAACACACAUCCAAUACCAAUCAUUCCAAGCAUUCAAAUUAAAUAAUUCCAUCAUUCAUCAUGGCAUACCAUUACAUGCAUAUGUGUUUAUAAACUUACUUUAGAUUAACUUAGGCAUUAGCAUCAUUUGAUCGCAUAUACUUAGCAUAUCACAUAUGAAUAUAUCAUAAUAACCUACUUAAUCAUACCAAAAUAAGCCAUUACUAGCCAUUCCAAUGGCUAGAUUACAAGCAUCAUUUACAUUUACAUGCCAAUAUGGCCAAUAUAUCCUAUACAUGCCAUUACAACCAUAAUUGAUUUACCAUAUUAUGCCAACAUGAGUCGAUGGAUAGUGUGAGUGAUCUCUGCCAAGCUUCCAAUCCAACGAGCUACCAAUUCACUAUAAAAUAGGGAAAUAAAACUAAAUAAGCAUAUAAUGCUUAGUAAGUUCGUAUAACAUGGUACUUAACUUACCAUUCAUUCUAUUUUGAGGUAACUAUGUAAGGCAUAUUUAAUCAAUUUGCCCUCAAGCCCUUCACAUAUCCUCAUUGCCCUUGUUAGUCAUAUAAUCCAUAAUAACAUUACAAACAUAUAUGGGCUCAACAACAAUCAAGUUUCCAUGCACAUAUGCUUUCCACAACAUGUAUUCAUUUAACAUGUAUAAAUCAUCUCUUUAUAUUACAAGUAUAAUUUCUUCAUAGUUCAUCUCGAGUCCAGAUCAUUUCUUAUCAGAACUUUACCCAAAUUACUCAAAAUAUUAAGAUCGCGAUUAGUACACUCAGGGUGUACAAGUCUAUAAUCAAGGAUGUACAUACUCAUCAAAUCAAUGCCAUGUACAAUAUCAUCAUUUCAUAUUUCCAUAUAUCAAUUAUCACGUAUCGUCAUUUUCAUGUAUUUCAAGCUGAUAUGUGUAAUAACUCAUUUCUUAUUCAUGUCUUCUCAUGUCAAGAACUUUUUCCUGUUGAAUUUAUCUAAAAUAUCGAUGGUUACACAAGUAGUACACUCGAGGUGUACGAAUCAGAAUCUGUCAAUUCAUGUCCAAUGGUACCCAUAGGGUACUGUAUCAGAGAGUACCCUUUCGAGCCACACAUGUAUACGACAGGAUUACCAGUUCAGACUAAAUUCUUUUUAUGACAUAUGCUCUAAAGAGCUUGAUCUAGAUUACCCAUCCGGGCUAAAUCCAAUUCAUAACAUAUGCUUGAGAGGAUUUAUAUCUGGAUUACCUGUCCGAGCUAAAUCCUUUCAUAAAUGAGGUCAAUAGGAUUACUCGUCUGAGUUAAAUCCCAUAAUGUAGGACCUCAUUCAUUUCGAGAAAUCACAUAUCCAUCGAUAUUCAUUUAUUCAACGAGAUUUAACAUUUUCAAGCAUUUCCUGGCAUGUAAUUAUUUCAUACAUCUAUAACAUUCAUAUAAUUUAAAUGACCAUAUUCCACAUUCCACAUUCAUUCCAAGCAUAAAAGUACCAUUUUUCUCGUUUAUCCUUUAUCAGAAAUUUUCGUUAAUCGGGCUUUGUCAGGUAUAUUUUCAACGUCAUAUACAUAUAUGAUAUUUAUACAAUUCACAAACACAACACUUAAUUCAAGCAUAAAAACAUAAAAAAAUUUAGUUACAUUAACUUACCUCGACAAUUGUUCCUGUACGAAAAAUCUACUAAUCUGACUUUUUCCUCUUCUCAUUGUUCUAGCUUCGAUUUUGGUCUAUCCGGAUCUAUACGAGUAAAUUUGAAAUCAAUUUAUCAUAUUUUAUAUUCAAGUGGACUCAAUUUUUAUCCUAGGCAAAAUUACCAUUUUGCCCCUAACUUGUCCAUAAAUUCCUAUUUCGUCCUUAGGCUCGGAAAAUGAAAUUUAUCCAAUUUACUCCUUAUUCCAAGCCUAACCAAAAUUUAUAUGCUACAUUUACAGCACAUAUAUUUGACAAAUUUUAGAAUUUUUCAUGGGUUUUAUCACUUUUUCAUUUUAAUCCCUAAAUCAAGUUUCCAUCAAAAAGUUGCUUUGUAAAAGUUGUUUAUUUAUCAACAACCUUUCAUUUUCUACCAUAAAUUUCAUAUUUCCAGCAUAUUCAUCCAUGACUAAAAUAUCAUACUUUGAUAACUUUUCAAAUUAAUCCCCCAAAUAGAUAGAUUAGACUAUCCAGUUUCAAAAAUAUAAAAAUUACUAAAAAUAGGGCUUGAUUAUUUACCCAAAUAAGCUUGAUAAGUCUUUUUCCUCUCUCCAAGGGUUUCCAUAGAAAUAUUUGGGGAAGAUGAUAUGAAAUUUUUUUCUUUUACAUUUAAUUAAAUUUUCAUUUAAUAACCUUUCAUCUUUCCAAUUUAGUUCUUAGCAUUUUUUUAUUUUUCCAUGGAUGAGUAAUACCAAAAUAUCUACAUACUUUCUUUAAUGGUCUAAUUACCAUAUAAGGACCUUAAGUUUUGAAUUCCAUAGCUAUUUGAUCCUUUCCGUAAUUAAACACUUAAUCGAUAAUAUUUUUGUAACACCCCGAACCCGAGAUCGUCGCCGGAGUCGAACACGAGGUGUUAACAGACUUCAAACCACUUAUUAAAAAUUUCCCAGACAAGUUGUCACUCUGCGUACUAGUCGCUUUAAAAAUCAUAUCUUGAGUUCUGAAACUCAAAAUCCAGUUCUGUGAAUUUUACCUGAAACUAGACUCAUAUUCUCAUCUACAUAUUUUUUUCUAGAAUUUUUGGUCGAGCCAAUUAGUACAGUUUAUUAGUCAAAGUCUCCCAUGUUACAGGGAUCGACUACACUGACCUUUGCGCAUUACGACUUGGAUAUCUCCCUGUACAGGGCUUCAAUACUGAUUUCGUUUGUUUCUAUAGAAACUAGACUCAAAGGGGAAUCUAUGAAAAUAUAGCAUGACUUCUAAUUAUCUCUGGUUAAUUUAUAAUGAAUUUCCAAAGUCGGAUUAGGGAAUCCAGAAAUCACUCUGGCCCUGUUUCACAAGAGUUUAAUUAUCUCCUAACCUACAGCUCAUAUGGUCGUUUCGUGUCUUCUAUAUGAAAAUAGACUCAUCGAGCUUCGAUUAAAUAAUUUAUUCAUUAAUUAAUUCCUCUCAUACUAUUUUUAGUGAUUUUUCAAUCUCACGUCACUGCUGCUGCCAGCAUCUGUUACUAAAACAACUAUGCCUAUUUCGUGAUUUCUCCUUGAUCUAACUAGUAAUUCGUCAUACAUAUCACAAAUUAUGAUCAUGACUAGCCAUGCCAAAGGCUAAUCAUUGUCAAACAUCUCUCUACUACACUAUUGCCAUAUCAUGAAUUUUAAUACCAAAAAUAAUCAACCAUGACAUAUGGCAUAAAAAUCGAAUUUCCAAGACUUACGACCUAACAUUAUAGAACCAAAUCCAACCGAACAUUUAUGCCAUUUUCGCAUGGCUAAAAGUUUACAUACCAAAUUUCAACAAAACAUAUUAGCCUAUACAUGCCGAAAUGUUCUCCUAGACCCACUAAAAAGAAGAUACCAAAAGUUGCUAGCCGGUGUGAUGACUUCGAUGACGGCCCGAUCACGCAAAAAGAGACGAGUCCAAGAAACCUAGAAUAGGUGACAAGGAAACACCGAGUGAGUAUAUAACUCAGUAAGUCAUAAGCAAUGCACUACCAUCCAUUAAUAACAUUAUCACAAGAGGAAACAAAAUGGAACGAGGCUAGUUACUCCAUCCAUACCGAACCAUGCCAUAGUUCCUCAGAUCUAUCGGUUCAAUCUCAUACCAAAUCAUGCAUUCACAUUCCAUAUACUAAUCAAUAGGAUAUUUGAGGCAUUUUCAUACAUCAUUUUAUUUUCGUUACAAUCAUACAACUAAACGGCCUUUCACCUAUUCCACGAUAAAUCUUAUGUACGUGACUUCAAGUAUAAUUGUCACAUAGGUUCAAACUUACCAAGCUCAACUCCAAAUAUAAACAUAGCGCCUAUUAGCCAUGAACUCAAGGUACUUACCCGAUCCGCUGUCCGUGAUCAACUCAAUAAUGUCGCACACUUAGUGUCCAUAGUGAUUCAAAAAUAUAUAUUAAGUCCGCACACUCAGUGCUAUAUAAUCAACUCGCACACUUAGUGCUAUAUAAUCAAACUCGCACACUUAGUGCUGUACAAUUUAAACCCGCACACUUAGUGCCAAUCUCAUGAUCAUAAAUGUUUAUACCCGCACACUUAGUGCCGAGAUCAACAACUCAAUACAUCUCACCUCUUUUCUUUUCAUUCAACACUUUCAUCACCACAUGCAUACAUGUAUAUAAAUUUAUCAUUCCAUUCGGCAUAAUUACAUAGACAUUAUGUCUAUUUAGAUCAAUACAAAAUAUAUGCUUAAUGACUUACCUUGUGUUGGGUAAGACGGUUCCAACUCGGUUACUCGAUGAUCUUUUCUUUGCCCUUGCUUGCCUCUCCACCUUUAGCUUCUUGAGCUAAAUCGAUAAAUUAACUAGUUUAACCAUCUUGCUAAACAUUCAUACUUCAAUUACACAUGCAUAUGUAUGUUUGUAUAUUCGGCAAUGACAAUGGUAAUUUAGCAAACCUUAAUUUAACUUAUAAUUGUUCAUAACACAUUUAAAGCAUCCACUCCAUUCCAUCAUUUUAAAGCACAUACAUUACUCAAUAUUAUCCAAGUUCACAUUCGGCAUUUUCACAAAUACACAUGCCGAUUUCAUUCACUCAUCUCUAAUGUUAAUUAAGAAAUGCCGAAUGUCACCAACUAAAUGGCAUACACACACUCACAUGCAUAAAAGUCAUCCACACCUCCUAUAGCUCAUUCGGCAUUCACAAAAUCAUACCAUUAGAAUUCAUGUACAAUACCGAACCUUUAGACAUUCAAACAUCUACUCUAUUCUUUUCAAAUCAUCUAAAUGGCAACACUCACAUUCUAGCAUUUAAAUACAAAACAUUUAUUCAAGUAACUAAGCAAGUCCAAGUUCGGCUAUUACACAUAUAAAUACUAUCAAAUUAAAUUUUUAACUAGAUCAAACAUCUCUCAUCAACAUUUAUUCAUCAAAACAUAAAGAAAAUAAUCAAAUCUCUUCAUUAACAACCAAGGCCAAAUGCUCCAUUCACCACCCAAAUCCAAAUUUUUAACAUGGGCAAAGUAAGAAACUUAGUAACCAACUCAAAAUAAGCUAAAAUUUCAAAAUCUAACAUGAAUUACUAACCUUGUUUUAAGCUUAAGAUGGCCGAAUGCUAUAUCCCUUUUCUUCUUUAAAGUUCAGCUACUAAGGAAGAAGAUGAAACCAACAUUUUGUCUUUCUUUUGUUUUUCUAUUAUCCUUUCUUAUUUUACUUAAUUACUAACCCUUUAUUUUUCUUUCUAACAUAACACACUAAGCCAACAUGUUCCCAACAUGUUUCCACCCAUAGCAUGGCCAACCACUAGCUCAAAUUUUGGGUAAUUUGACAUGCAAACCCAUCAUUUUCAUAACAUGCAUUAAUAGGCCACUUCACAUUUGCCUAGCACAUUUCUAAAUUUUCUCACAUAAGUCCUAUUUAGUAAAAUUCACUUACAAUUAACAAAAUUCAAACAUGAAAUUUUCACACAUGCAUAUAUACAUAUAAUAAGUAUCAAAUAUGAUGGCUAAUUAUUAGUAUGACUCGGUUUUGUGGUCCCGAAACCACUUCCCGACUAGGGUCAAUUUUGGGUUGUCACAAUUUUCGUAUCAAAAUUUUUACAUGACAUGUUUAUCAUAAUACGGACCAUAUAAUAUAAUAAAAAUAAAUUUUAUUUUUCGGCUUGAUUUUUUGGUCCUGAGACCGCUGUUCCAAUUUCACUGAAAUUGGGCUGUUACAAUGGUCAUGUGUCUUAUACUUCGAAUUGUACAAUGUUGGCCACAUAAUCUUGUCUUUGUGCCAUAUGGCCUGGUCACACGAUUGUCUGACCCUAUUUCUAAAAUUUUCGAAAUUUUCUUAUUUAUUUUAAAUUAGUCCCUGAAGGUUCCUAAACUAUUUUUAAGGCCCAGUAAGUUGGGUUUAAGGCCCGUAAAUGUACUUAUGCUAUAAAUGUAAUGUGUAUUUGUUAAUGUUAGUAUUUAAUCUAAAUAGUAGUUUCUAUUUGAAGUUAAAUGUUCUGGAUUGUACUAUAAUGUUUUGUAACCCUAAUUAAAUAAUGAAGAUAGGUUAUAGUUGUUACAUUUAGUGGUAUCAAAGUUACAAUUUAGUCGGUUCUAGGACUAAUGUAGUGCAUAUCGAGUCUAGAAUAUACAUACCACAUAUACCCUGCAAUAGUGUGAUGCUUUUGAUUCAUUUUGAUUCGUUUUUUCUUAUAGAUACAAGAUGUUGGCUGAAUCAAAUCAUGCUGUAGCAAAUGAAGAUGAAAGUAAUGCCCAAGCAUCCAAUUAGGAAGCAAGUCAAAGUGUGUUAGUUCUGCAAUCAUUUGAUAGUGAAAUGAGAAAUAUUUUUUACGAAAUGAUGAAUCAAUGGUUUAGUGAUUUUAUAAGAGCAAACCCUAGGCUCCGCAACAUCCAGCCUCGCCUGUGCCUCCUCUAGCACCUCUGUGUCCUCAAAAUCUAGCACCUGCAAUAGCUCAUUGCUAUCUUAUUGAUAAAAUUUAUAAAUGUGGGGCUGAAGAAUUCAGGGGUAAAGUUGACGAAGAUCUUUCUAGAGUUAAUUAUUGGCUUAAGAAUAUAUAGAAAGUAUUUGCUAAACUUAUGUGUUCACCCGUAGACAACCUGAAAUGUGCAAUUUCACUUUUGAAAGAUGAAGCAUACUUAUAGUGGUGUACGUUGACAACUAUGGUUCCAAAUUAUCGGGUUAAUUGAUAUUUCUUUCUAACUGAGUUUAAAAAGAAAUUUUUUAGUUGGUUAUAUCUAUGUAGGAAGAAGAAAUAGUUGCUCAAGAUGAAGUAAGGAAAUCGUUCAAUAGCAAAGUAUGAACGAGAAUUUAUUUGUUUAAGUAUGCUCGAAACAUCGUAUCAUCGAAAGAAGAAAUGUGCAUUCAUUUUGAAGAUGGACUAAAUGAUGAAAUCUGAAUGUUAGUUUGAGCUUUAAAGUUAUGAGAAUUUGUGGAGCUAUCAGAACGCGCGCAAAAAAUGAAGGAAAUUUGUAUAAAUAAAAAACAAUCAAAUAUGAAGUCUCGAGAUUUCAGUAAAAGAAGGCCAUCCAAAUUAGUUCAGACUCCUUCGUCAAAGAAAUUUCGUAAUAAUGCUAGUCAAUUUAGUUCUCCUUCAAGAUUUCUAUAACGCCCCAAUUUUCGGGAAUUAUGUGUAUAUUGGCAAAUUUAAAAUUUCUGUGUUUUGUCUGUUUGGCGUAGGUUUAAUUAUGUUAGUGGGCCUCUAGAAGACCCAAGAUUAAGUUAAAACUCGGUAAAUUUAGUUAAUUUUAGUUCCAUAGGAAAAAGGGGUUCUGGUUAAUUGGGCUUUUAAGUAUUAAUUGGGUAAAAUAAAACACAAAGAAGCAGGUGGCAAAGUGGCAUGUGACGCCACUGGGAAGGCUAUAAAAGUGACGUGUGGAUACUAGGGAGAGCUGAGGUUCAAGUCACAAUGACAGCAUAUUAAGGGAAUUAUUUUUUAUGUUUAGAAAGGGUAAGCAAUGGAACUCAAGUAAAAGACUGUCAGGAGGAGUUUGAGUUGCUCAGGUGAUUGAGUAAGGAGGGGAUAAGGGAGGAGAUUUAGGAGCUGAUAAGGGGAGAAAAUCAAGGAAUCUGAGUAUGAAGUAGGAGUUGGCCGUAUAGGGGACUCUGCAAGUGCACAUUCGACUAGGGCACCUUAUGUUGGGAAUUUUGGCAUUUGGUGUAGGGCUGCCGAAUUCUUUUGUAUUUCGGGACUAGGUUAUUUAGUUUGUUCUGCCAAAAAUUAGGUUUCUCUUCUCUUCCCUUUUAUUUUUGCUAAAAAUCGAAGACUUCACCUGUGCCGACUUCACAACCACAAAACUGAAUUCUCUGCUCAUCUUUUCUUUUUCUUUUAGCCGAACCUAGAAACCCCUCACUGUGUCAUUUUCUCCAUAGCAUGUCUAGGAUUGGAUCCGAAGGGAGCUUGGUACUUAAGCAGUCCGAUGGAAUCACCUCCUCUUUUCCCGGUUUCCUACUUGGUGCACAGCUUCCAUUCACUUUAACCUAUAUUGAAAUUAUCUUUUAAAACACUAAGUAAGUUUUUCUAGAACAACAACCUGAAAUGUUUUGAACGCUUCGAUGUGGCACGUCGGAUCCGGCCAUAACGUCUAGGCCGGGUUUGAGGUGUUAUAAUUUCACGGUGUCAGAGCCUCGGUUGCAAUAACUCGGCUGUGGAAUGGGUUUACAAAAACAAAGAUUUUUAGAAACAAAAAUUUUAUGAAAAAAAACUCGGUUUUCAAAAUUUAGAUCCUUAGAAGGUGGCAUUUCGAAUCUCCGGCCCAAGCCUGUAAGUAUUACUCUGAAAUUCUCUAAAUAUUUUCCUGAAUUAUCUGUCUGUACUGAAAUCCUACUAGGAUAGGAUGAUACUGAAACCAUAGGAAAUUUUGAUAAGAGACUGAAACUGUAGUUAGACUUCGAUUCUGCAAAAACAAACUUUGAAUUACUGUCUGAUUCACAAAACAUCUAUAAUAAACAUUGGAAUAUUGAAUUAAUGCAUAAAAAUUUGUAAUCAGAUAAUACGAUAUGAGUAUAAGAGCCGCUCGUAGAAGAGGCCAUGGAUGGGGCCGAGGAAGUGCUCGAGCAAGAUCUUCGUCUUCGGGACAUAUGCCGACGGCGGAUGCACCGGUACCAUCGGCAACAGAGGUGGAGUCUCAUGACUGCAAUGUCGGGGAUGAUGCCCUGUCACAGGUAAUGCUUCGGGUUCUGGAGAGGGUUGCCGGGGCAAGUUUGGGCAAUGGAAUUUGGGGAUCUAUUUCUGAGUGACUUCGGGCUAACGGAGCAGAGAUCUUUAAGGGUGUGUCUGAUGUAGCCUCGAAUGUGGCAGAAUAUUGGUUGGAGGCCGCAGAAUGGAUUAUGGAUGACUUGGACUACUCUGUGGAGUAGAAGCUGAAGGGAGCCGUAUCGUUGUUACGGGACGAGGCUUAUCAGUUAUGUGGACGCCCGCAGAAAGAAAUUCUUGAAUCUGGUGCAAGGAGGUAAAAUAGUUGCUGAGUACGAGGCUGAGUUUCUGAGGCUGAGCCGGUAUGCCGUGGGCAUAGUCGCUACGGAAUAUGAGCGAAGUGUGCGCUUCGAGGAUGGUCUUAGGGAUGACAUUAGGGUGUUGAUUGCUCCGUAGAGGGAGCGGGACUUUGCGGUCUUGGUGGAGAAGGCAAAGAUAGCUGAGGAGGUAAAGCGUGCUGAAAAGCAGAAUCGGGAGAAAGAUUGAAACCAUUUUUUGAGGGAUUCAGGACGUUCGGGUGGUGCUAAUAGAAAUGUUAAGAGAGCAAGAGUGGAGGAACCAGUUCGAGCAGUGCCAAUGAAUGUGGUUAGACCACCAAUCUGUGGAGACUGAGGGAAGGUACAUUUGGGCGAGUGUAGGAAACGUUCUGGUGCUUGUUUCAGAUGCGAAUCCAUGGAGCAUAGAGUUAAGGAAUGUCCACAGGGAGCUAAUCAGGCUCAGGUUGCUGUACAAAGGGUUGCUCAACCCAUGAGAGGUGGACCACAACCACCGAGGUCGAGGGGCACCUGGCAGGGGUGCCAAAAAUGCUGAAGCUCGAUAGCCAGUGUUGGUGUAUACAGCUCGUCGUCGAGAGGAGGGCAACGUACCUGACGUCAUAACUGGUACGUUUUUGGUUUUUAGCAUGCCGUAUACUAUUUUGGUGGAUAUUGGAUCUACUCAUUCCUAUGUUGCAUAUGCCAUAUCUGGGUCAUUGGGUGUGCACUCUGAGAAGAUUGUGAGUGGGGUAUCUGUGCUAAGUCCUUUGGGUCACUCGGUUAGGGUAGACAAACUGUAUAGGGAUGUACCCUUAGAAACUCAAGGUAGGAUUUUCCCUGGAGAUCUGAUGGAGUUACCGUUCGGAGAGUUUGAUCUCAUUCUAGGAAUGGACUGGCUUGUUAAGCAUAAGGUGACUUUAGAUUGUGCUGCUAAAUGAAUGGUGUUAAGGACCACGGAGGAUGAGGAGGUUAUGGUGAUAGGUUAGCGAAGGGAUUAUUUGUCCAAUGUGGUAUCGGCAUUAAGAGCCGAAAAGUGGAUUCAGAAAGGUUGUGAGGCCUAUUUGGCAUUUGUAAGUCAAUCGGAAGAGGAGGGACUAACGAUGGAUAAGGUCGGGACCAUAAAAGAGUUCCAAGAUAUUUUUCCGAAAGAGCUUCCAAGAUUGCCUCUGAACCGAGAAGUUGAGUUUGGAAUCGACUUGUUGCCUGGAACGGUGCCCGUGUCCAUCGCACCUUAUAGGAUGGCACCGAAGGAGUUAGUGGAGUUAAAGGCACAAAUUCAGGAUGGAUAGGGGCUUCAUUAGGCCAAGUGUGUCUCCAUGGGGAGUACCGAUGCUAUUCGUGAAAAAGAAGGAUGGUACGACGCGGAUGUGCAUCGAUUAUCGCCAGUUGAACAAACUGAUGAUUAAGAAUAAGUAUCCACUGCCAAUGAUUGACGAUCUGUUCGACCAGCUUAGAGGAGCUUCUGUAUUUUCCAAGAUCCACCUUCGAUCUGGUUAUCAUUAGUUAAGGGUCAAGGAGGCAGAUAUCCAUAAGACGACAUUCAGGACUCAGUAUGGUGAUUACGAAUUUCUGGUUAUGCCAUUUGGACUGACGAACGCUCCUGCAGCGUUUAUGGACCUGAUGAAUCGUGUGUUCCAACCAUUUUUGGAUCAGUUCGUAGUCGUCUUUAUUGACGAUAUCCUGGUAUAUUCUGAAAUAGAAGCGAAGCAUGAUGAGCAUCUCCGUAUAGUGCUGCAAGUGUUAAGGGAGAAGGAACUUUAUGCGAAGUUCAGCAAGUGUGAAUUUUGGUUGAAGGAAGUAACCUUCUUAGGACAUGUGGUCUCUACUAAGGGGAUUAAGGUGGACCCUCGAAAGAUUGACGCGAUUUUGGAGUGGAAGCCGCCUAGGUCAGUGUCGGAAAUACGAAGUUUUCUAGGAUUGGCAGGAUACUACAGAAGGUUUGUUGAAGGUUUUUCUGUGAUGGCAGCACCUCUGACAAAACUCAUAAGGAAAGGAGUACCGUUUGUAUGGAUUAAGAAACAGCAGGAAGCUUUUGAGAAGUUGAAGAAAGUUCUGACUAAAGCACCUGUGUUAAUUUAGCCAGAGUCUGGGAAGGAUUUUACUGUGUACAGUGACGCAUCACAUGUAGGUUUGGGCUGCGUGUUAAUGCAAGAGGGUAAGGUGGUUACAUAUGCAUCACGACAACUUAAGCCUCACGAGGGGAACUAUCCUACUUAUGAUUUGGAGUUGGUGGCAGUGAUAUUUGCACUUAAGAUUUGGAGACAUUACUUGUACGGAGAGAGGUGUAUUAUAUACACAGACCACAAGAGUCUUAAGUAUUUGUUGACUCAGAAGGAGCUGAACCUUAGGCAAAGGAGAUGGAUUGAGUUACUUAAGAAUUAUGACUGCUCGAUUGAGUAUCACCCAGGCAAGCCUAAUAUGGUAGCCGACGCUUUAAGUCGUAGAACUGUAUCUGAUCUGAGAGCAAUGUUUGCUCAUCUGAGUCUGUAUGAUAAUGGAAGUCUGUUGGCUGAGUUGCAAGUAAGGUCGACCUGGGUGGAUCAGAUUAAGGAAAAGCAGUUGAACGAUGAGUCUUUGGUCGCUCGUUUUCAACAAGUUAAGGAAGGGGAAACUUCUGAGUUUGGGUUAAAUGGCGAAGGAGUUCUGUGUUUCCGAGGAAGAAUUUGUGUUCCGAAGGACUCUGACUUGAGGCAGGCAAUAUUGAAGGAAGCUCAUGGGGGACUUUGUGCCAUGCAUCCUGGAGGGAAUAAGUUGUAUCACGACUUACGAGAAUUGUACUGGUGGCUAGAACUUAAACGAGAAGUAACGGAGUUUGUAGGUAAAUGUCUGAUAUGCCAGCAAAUGAAAGCUGAGCAUCAAUUACCUUCUGGACUAUUACAGCCAGUGAAGAUACCACUUUGGAAGUGGGAGAGGGUAACCAUGGACUUUGUGAGUGGGCUACCCUUGUCACCAUCGAAGAAAGACUCGGUGUGGGUGAUUGUGGAUAGAUUGACCAAAUCAGCCCAUUUCAUACCUGUACGUACUGACUUUGCACUUCAAAGGUUUGCCAAGUUGUAUGUGGCAGAGAUUGUGCUACUUCAUGGAGUCCCAGUUUCAAUUAUCUCCGAUCGGGAUCCCAGAUUCACAUCUCGGUUUUGGAAAAAAGUUGCAUGAGGCAUUAGGAACGCGAUUGAACUUUAGUACGGCUUUCCAUCCCCAAACUGAUAGUCAGUCAAAAAGGGUUAUUCAGAUUCUGAAGGACAUGUUGUGGGGAUGCGUGAUUGACUUUCGAGGUAGUUGGGAGGAUUACGUGCCGUUGGCAGAAUUUGCGUACAAUAAUAGUUACCAGGCGAGUAUUCGAAUGGCACCGUAUGAAGCACUGUAUGGACGAAGGUGUCGUACCCCUAGUUGUUGGACUGAACUAGGAGAGCGAUAAGUUCUUGGGCCAGAGUUGGUAGCUGAUAUUGAGGAUAAGGUCAGAAUAAUUAGGGACCAGUUAAAAGAAGCAUCUGAUAGGCAAAAGUCGUAUGCAGAUUUCAAGCGUAAGGAGAUUGAGUACUCAGUAGGUGAUAUAGUCUUCUUAAAGGAUUCUCCUUGGAAAAAGAUAUUAUGGUUUGGUAAGAAGGGCAAGUUGAGUCCGCGGUUCAUUGGGCCUUAUCGGGUUUUGAAGCGAGUAGGCCCAAUAGCUUAUCAAUUGGAAUUACCUCCAGAGUUAGACAGGAUUCACGAUGUAUUUCACAUCUCCAUGUUAAGGCGUUAUCGUUCUGACCCUGCUCAUGUCGUGCUAGUUGCAGAAAUUGAUGUUCAAACUGAUUUGACCUUUGAGGAAGAGCCUGUGCAGAUAUUGGCUUGAGAUGUUAAGGUUCUCAGAAGGAAAUCUGUCCCAUUAGUGAAAGUGCUUUGGCGUAAUCAUGGCAGAGAGGAAGCUACGUGGGAGCCAAAAGAGGCGAUGCAACAGCAAUACCCUCAUCUGUUUGAAUCAGGUAAAUUUUGAGGACGAAAUUUCUUUAAGGAGGGUAGAGUUGUAACGCCCCAAUUUUUGGGAAUUCUGUGUAUGUUGGAAAAUUUAAAAUUUCUGUGUUUUGUCUAUUUGGCGUAGGUUUAAUUAUGUUAGUGGGCCUCUAGAAGACCCAAGUUUAAGUUAAAACUCGGUAACUUUAGUUAAUUUUAGUUCCAUAGGAAAAAGGGGUUCUGGUUAAUUGGGCUUUUAAAUAUUAAUUGGGUAAAAUAAAACACAAAGAAGCAGGUGGCAAAGUGGCAUGUGACGCCACUGAGAAGGCUAUAAAAGUGGCAUGUGGAUGCUAGGGAGAGCUGAGGUUCAAGUCACAAUGACAGCAUAUUAAGGGAAUUAUUUUUUAUGUUUAGAAAGGGUAGGCAAUGGAACUCAAGUAAAAGACUGUCAGGAGGAGUUUGAGUUGCUCAGGUGAUUGAGUAAGGAGGGGAUAAGGGAGGAGAUUUAGGAGCUGAUAAGGGGAGAAAAUCAAGGAAUCUGAGUAUGAAGUAGGAGUUGGCCGCAUAGGGGACUCUGCAAGUGCUCAUUUGGCUAGGGCACCUUAUGUUGGGAAUUUUGGCAUUUGGUCUAGGGCUGCCGAAUUCUUUUGUAUUUCGGGACUAGGUUAUUUAGUUUGUUCUGCCAAAAAUUAGGUUUCUCUUCUCUUUCCUUUUAUUUUUGCUAAAAAUCGAAUACUUCACCUGUGCCGACUUCACAACCACAAAACCGAAUUCUCUGCUCAUCUUUUCUUUUUCUUUUAGCCGAACCUAGAAACCCCUCACUGUGUCGUUUUCUCCAUAGCCGAAUACUACCUCUUUUCUCAUCCUUUUCCUUCUUCUAUCUUCUCUUUUCCUAAUAAUCGAACUCAUACCCUUCCUUAUCUGAUGCAUUCAUUAUUGUUACCAUCUCCCAUAUUCUCCAAGAGUCGAAUCUUGUGGUAGCCGAACUUCUCUUCUCUUACUUACUUAUAAAAGCCGAAAUCUAUAAACCUGUGGUGGAAGAAGCCGAAACUUGGGUUGUUGGAAUCUGUUUCUUCUCAUGCGUACGGUAGAUCGGGGUUAGGACCGUGGAUAGGUGCACUCUUUUAAGCCGAACAACGAUAGGUAAGUUGUUGAAAUAAUUUGCAUUAAUCAUACAUGUUUUAAGAAAAAGCCGAAACCCUUAAGGGGGGCUAACGUUUGGACUAAGGGCAUUAUGCCUCUUUUUUUUUUGAAUGUGUAAGCAUUAGCAUGAACAAGGGAGCGAGCAGUGAAGGACUUGAAGUCUAUUCGUUUGGAUCCUUGGAUCUAAUCCAUAUUUCGGCAAGAAGGUAAGAGCAAUAGGGUUUUAGGCAUGGUUGGCCGAAUAUGGUAAGAGGUUAUUACAUAGUCAUUUUUGAUAGUUAGAUUAAUGUGUUAGUAAUCCAAUUGUAGGCAGUUCGUCUGUGGAUCUCGUCAGCAUAUCGUCGCAAACAGGUGUGUAACUGACACCCUCUUAUAGACUAGAUCGGCAAAAGCCGAAAAGCUGAAAUACCGAAAAGCCGGUAGUUUGAGAACUCACGAGUGUGCGAAUGAUCGUGAGAUUAAUAGUUUGAUGCAUGUGGUAAAUUAAAGUGAUAAGAUUGCAAAGUGCACGAUUCCGUGCAUUUCGAUGUUUUUGGGCUUAAUGGGCCAAAAUCGGGAUAGUGGGCCAACGAGCCCAAUUCGGUAAGAAAAUACGGUAAGUGUUUCUGGUCAUACGUAAAUGGCUAUGUUAUGCAUGGAAACCGUAAGAAUAGUGAAAUUACUUGAAUACCCCUAUGUAUGGAAAUUACUGAUAUACCUCUAGGUGCAAAAUUACCAUUAUACCCCUAGGGUUACUUUUGUCUGAAAAGCAUGAUGAUUUAAUUUUGUAUGAUGUAUGCCAUGAUUGUAUAUCUGCUGCAUGGGGACAUGGGUUAUAUUAUGGAGGAUGCGUCCUGGUGGCUAUGCUACAAUUAUCUAAUCUGGUGGCUCUGCCACAUAUAUCUGUUCUGGUGGCUCUGUCACAAUUAUCUAUUCUGGUGACUCUGUCACAUUAUCUGUUCUGGCAGCCAUGCUGCAUAUUUCUAUGGCGUGUAGCGGUUGGGUGGGUCGAGUAGUCUCCCAACAUGGUGAAAGGUUGGUAUGGGGUGCAUGUGGUUUGAUAUGGGUUGGGUUUUGCACAAACAUGUGAUAUCUGUUCUGUUCUGUUAUGGGCCUAUGGGCUCUAUUCUAAUUUCUGUUCUGGGCUAAGGCCAACUUAUUCUGUUCUCUGUGGUUUGAACCGAUAUAGGCUAUGGUUGGGUUAAUUUACACACUGAGUUUCCCCAAACUCACCCCUUUAUAUUCAUCCACGCAGGUAAUCCCCAACCAUAGUGGGCUUGGAGCUGUGAGGGAUUCGGAGUGGCCACACGUUCUGCAAGUUGAUUUUCUUCUGGUGAACUGGACAUCCUUUUUAUUUACGUUUAAAGUUUUGGGUUUUUUUUGUAAUAAGGCCGCUUAAUUAUUUUUAUGGUUUUAAUAUGUUUUAUUAAGAUAGGUAUUACUUAUAUUUAACUGUUGAAAUUGAAUAGCUUUUAGGGUGCGUUUUCAAGAACAGUAACUGAUUUCAAAAUAACACGACAACAAGUAAAGCUUUUGCAAUGAAAAUAUUUUCCAAAAUUAAUCACUUUUCUAAAAAAAGACUUAAUCAAAUUGGUUUCCUGGAAAUAUACAUGACGUUAAGGUGUGGCAAUGGCGGUGUGCAUGUCUAGGAUUGGAUUCGAAGGGAGCUUGGUACUUAAGCAGUCCGAUGGACUCACCUCCUCUUUUCCCGGUUUCCUACCUGGUGUACAGCUUUCAUUCACUUUAACCUACAUUGAAAUUAUCUUUUAAAACACUAAGUAAGUUUUUCUAGAACAACAACCUGAAAUGUUUUGAACGCUUCGAUGUGGCACAUCAGAUCCGGCCAUAACGUCUAGGCCAGGUUUGGGGUGUUACAAUUUCACUGGUAGAGAUAGACCAAGGCAGAUUAUUUUGAAAUAUGUAAAUUCACUAGUUUGCAAACAUUGUGGUAAAAGCCAUUUUGAUGAAUGUCAAUUCAAGUUGGGAGCUUGUUUUAAAUGCGGUUCCACUAAACAUUUUCUUAGAAAUUGUCCAAACUAACAUAACGACUCAGGGUAUCAAGCUUCCAAACCUGGGUCUACUUUCUAGAGAGGUAGAAAGCUGGGGAAUAGUAAAGGUGGUAUAACUGGUUGAGGGAAAA
rnacentral:lncRNA from 1 species